GUCCUCGUGCUUCUUCUUCUUCUCCUUCUUUUUCUUCUUCUCUUCACCGUGGGCGGCGCCCUCGCCGCCGCCGACACCGGGGAUCUUCUGCUUGAUCUUGUCCACCAAGCCCUCCUUGUGUUCGCCCUCCUUGUGUUCCCCGCCGUGAUGCUGCUGCUGAUGGUGAACAUCAGUAGUGCCGACACCGGGGAUCUGCUGCUUGAUCUUGUCCACCAAGCCCUCCUUGUGUUCGCCGCCGUGAUACUGCUGCUGAUGGUGGACAUCAGUAGUGUGGUGGUCCCCACUAUGGUGCUCUCCCUUGUGCUUGUCCUCCUCCUUUUGCCCUCCUCCCAUGUGAAGGGCUUCUCCGAUCUUGUGAAUAACUCCUGACAUUUUCCCUUAAAAUGACUCUGUUCCUCUUCUUUUCUUUUCAAUGAAAAAUAGUUGUUUGCGAUCUUCUUCUGGUUGUUGUUGUUCUUGUUGGGUGAUCUUGGCUUGGUAUUUAUAGGCUCCAAAAGGAGGGACUAGAAUUAGGAUUAGAUUAUAGAUUAUUUUAAUACAUUUUAUGGCAAAUUCUGAUUUGGAAAGAUAAGAUUAUCCUUUUGGUUUUCCUUAUUUACCCUUUUGCACCCAUUACGUGUACGCGUCUUCGUGGGCUUUUUGGGUAUUUCAAUUAUAUCGCCAAUGCUAAAUCGACACGUUGCAUAUCAGCCGCGGUACUGCCGUAUGUAGUUGUCCAGAAAUCGAGUCGAUUCUCGAUCGUACAAUAAUUAAAUAAUAUUUCAUACGAAAUGAGUUUAGAUAUAUUUUGAAAAUUUAUUUUUAAUUUAAUUAUACGUGUUAUAUAUUUGUUAAUCGAAUAGAGGUCCCACGUAACAGAGUGUUUCUCUAAUCUUUCAUUGCUUUUAAUUAAUUUUACCCAAAUAAAAAAAAAAAGGAAAAUUUAGAGAGAGAGAGAGAGAUAGCGAAUUAGAAGUUGAUUGUAAUAUCGACACCUGUCAGACAAUCAAAUAUCGUUAGUUAAAAAUCAGUUGUCCAUAGUCAUGGUCAUAGAUGGCGAAAUUGAUACUUAUUUUAAAAAACAAAACAAAACAAAACGAAACGAAACUAAACUAACAGAUGUUGAAAUGCAGUUCCGUGUUAACAGUCUGUGAUGAAUCUUUAUCUUUGAGUAUACCAUUCAAGAAAUUAUCAUUCAAAAAUUUAUUUAAAGCAGCAGCAAAUCACCUUCUAAUUCCUGAAUCAAAUUAAUUCGAUUUUUUUCGAGUCGAUCAAUUCAUUAGAGAAUUAACGGGCUAAGUUAAAGUUUUGUUAGUUAUUUUUUUUUAUAUUCCUUUAGAUGAUAUGAUUGUCAUUGUCUUUCUUUCUCUGGGCAACAAUAAAUACAAGAUGUGCAAAAGCGUAGUGGAACAUAAUUCGAUUAUGGGUAAAGGGAUCAGUCCGCAUAAUGAGGAUAAAGUUUUUCUCUUUAAAAAAAUUUAACCCAAAGAAAAGGUCGUAGUUUGUAAUAGCCGACACGCAGAUAGAUCACAAAGCAUGGCGGUCCUGAUGGCAAUAACUAACUGAUAUCUUCUGCGAUGAGAGGAGAUCACGUGGUUCUGACACGUAUCGCCCCAUCAACUGAUGUUGUGGCUGCAAUCGCGGCCCAGUCUUUAGAGAGAAGAAAGAUCUGUUAUAACGGGACCUACUUUAGCAUCUAUUUACGACAAAGCCCCUAUUUACUCUACUUAGUAGUAAUAAUAGCAAGUGUCGGGCUUGGAUUCCGUGUUGCUUUAAAUAAAUAUCCGCGUAAAAAGAAAAUGCUUCUUUAAUCCCUUCCUUGUAAUUUUUCGACACGUGGAUGGUUGAAAUUAGCGUGCCGACAUCUUAGGAAUUUUAUCUUGGAGACGGGAACACUGCAGUAGGCAAUGCCAUUUUCUUCGGAUGGUGUGUGGUGACAACGCCUUGGAUUUUGACGUGCAAAGAAUUUAAAUUGAAAAAGAAAAAAAGAAAUUACCAGAAUAAGCAUAGAAGAGAUAUUUUUCUUUUUGUCCUUUUUGGAAUGGAAAAAGAGAUCAAGAGAUUGUUCCAGUAAGUAUUACACAUGUCACAGGCUUAUUCAUGCCCCAUUAUGGCAACUUUUAUGCCUCGCGGUGCCCUCGGUUCCAGCAUAAUAGCUAAGACUUCAAUUUUUCUAACAUAUUUUUGUUACAAAUAUGAACGGAGUAAAUGUAUAACUUUAAUCCUUUGAAUAAAGAAAUGGCGGUUCUCCUGCUCGUUAAUCUCACUUGAAUCCCACCCAGGCAAAAUUUCUUUAUUUUAUUUAACAACAAUUUAAAGAAAGAAACUUUUGCCAGGUUGAAUUUCAAGUGAGAUUCAUUCGUGGGAGAAGUGCCAUUUCUUUAUUCAAAAGAUUAUGGUAAUUACAACUUUCAAUUUCGACAUAAAUUAAAAUUAUAGGCUAUACAAUAAAAUUGCCCUAAAUUAGUCCUAAUCAAUUCAGAUUAUAAAUUUAGGUAUAUUUAUUAUUUUAAUAUAUUAAUGUUCUAUAUAUAUAUAUAUAUAUAUAUAUAUAUGUGUGUGUGUGUGUGUAUNNNNNNNNNNNNNNNNNNNNNNNNNNNNNNNNNNNNNNNNNNNNNNNNNNNNNNNNNNNNNNNNNNNNNNNNNNNNNNNNNNNNNNNNNNNNNNNNNNNNNNNNNNNNACAGCAGAAAAUAUUUGCUAUGGAUAAGGAGACAUGGUCCCACGUCCCACCGUCCCAAUGCAUAUUUUGUAUGUUUCCAUCUUUUCUGAAAUUUUAAUAAAUAAAGUUUUUUGACCACUUGGCCAAAGAACCUUACCCUUACACAACUUUGUGGUUGGAGUCCUGUGAUACAUGUAAGAACUUAUUUUUUUUCUUAAUUAUAAUAUUUUAGAAUAUAAUUAAGUGAAGUAGGUUUUUUUUUUAAAUAUGAGUAAAAUAGAUAUUUUUUAAAUAUUAAAGAGAGUAAAAUUUGAAUAAUAAUAUAUUAAAAUUAAUACAAACUAAUUUUAAUAAUUAUUUAAUUAUAAAUAUCAAUUAUAACAUCAUAUAAUAUCAAUUAUAAUAUCGUACAUCUCAAUUAAUUCAAUAAUAAUAAUAAUAAAUGUUUUUUGGGAUAAGUAAACAGUCGCAUGGCGACAAUAGUGGAUCUGGAUUAGAGUGAAGUGGUCCCAAGAGGCUGAGGCUGUGGCUGUGGAGUUCUAAAAGUCAAAAGCUCCACGCACUUUGUUUCAGUACCAUACACACUGAAAAAAUUUGCAUUUGCAAUGACGAAAACUUUUCACGAAAUCAAAACACCUCUAAACUAUUUUGUUAUCGAUAUUUAAUGGAGGGGUUUCCUACCUUUUUAACACUCGAUUCACGCCUUGACGCAUCUCACAGAAAACCUCAUGAUCCCAUUAAUCUUGCGUAACAUAUCUCAAAGCCAAUGCAAGUGAUCUUGUUGCCUACUUCCCUUUGACGAUUCAAAAUUGUUGAAAAUAAUUCUUUUUUUUUUUAACCUCAAGGAAGUGACAAAAUAUAAAAGAAUAUUUUCUACACAUUAAACAUCUAGAUUUUUUUUUCUUUUCUUUUUAGAGUACUUGCACAAACCGUUUCCAAGAGAGACCUUUUUUUUUUUUUUUUUUUUCCGGGCUUGGUUACUAAUUUGGUGUGAAUACUCUAUGGUGAAAAAGGAAUCACAAAGCUGUAAUCAAUUUUUUUGCAUCAUUUAGUUGUAACUUGAACAUUGGGAGGUUUAUAAAGAAUUAAAUUAAUUAUAAUGCCUCUACUAGGAAAAGUUCAGAGUAGCCCUUCACAACUUUUUAAAGGCUUAAUAAUUUUCGCUUUCUUCCUCUCAUAACAUAACAAAAAAUUAAGAGCUUUACUCGUACACGUCCUAUGGCUAUAUAGUAUUGGGUUCUCUACUUCAAUCGGCUAUCUCAAACCGAAGGUUAUUUGGACACACCAGCAGUCACGUUUGGAAACUCUCAAAUGCUUGGAUUGUAAUUCUUGUGGAUGAGAUCAUCUAAAUCUUGGGCCCAAGCCGGACAAUGGGUGGACAAAGAACCCUAAAAUACAGUAAAGCUUCUAACACCCCACUAAAACUCUUAAGAAAUCCUACCUUUUAUUUUUAUAUCUCUUUCUUUUAGAAAUUAUAGAGAAGACAUAGCAUUUUAAUUAUUUUCCCUGCCAUUGAAAAUAAAUUCUGUAAACAUAUUUUUUCAUAAUAAAAUUAUUGUUAUUAGAUAAUUUAUUUCUUCAUUGUUUCAAAAUUAUUAUAAUUUUAUCAACAAAAUUAGUUAUGUCAUAUAUUAGGAUUAAAAUUAAUUAGGAUCCAUAACUUGUAAAGACAUUUUAGUUUAAUUGAAUUCAUAUUUGUCAUUUUAUGUAAUUUUCAAUAAAAAUACGACUAUGAGUGCAAAAGUGGGAUGACAUAAUAUUAAAAGAGUGUGAAAUAAUCGGUAAUUGAAAUGGAUUGAAAUCAUAAUAGAGUAUGAAAAUCAGAAUAAAUUGUUUACUUUAGUUGUAGAAAUCAAAAUUAAAAUAAACCAUAUUAUCAUUGAUGUAUAUAUGUUUUCUUGUAAUCGAAAUGAAUUCUUAUAAGUUACUAUAAGACCCUUAUGGUGUGUUUACUAAUCAGAAAUCAGAAUGGAGUGGAAUUUGAAUAUAGAAUGGUAGGGGUAUUCGCGGAUCGGAUUUUACGGAUUGGACAUUAAUUCAUAUCCGAUCCAUAAUUUUACGGAUUAUAAAUUCUCAACACAAUCCAAAUCCAAUCUAUAUGUUUGCAGAUCGGAUGCGGAUUUGACUCAAUUCAUAUCCAAUCCACUAUUUGACGGAUUGAUUUUGGAAUUAAAAAUUUUUAAUUUUGUCCAAUCUAUGAGGUAAUUAAAUUUAAAAAUCUAAUAUAAAAAUAAUUUAUUAAAUAAAAAAUUAACGUAAAAAUAAUUUUACUACCAAUUAAAUUCAAAAUUGAACAAGAUUUAAAUAAAUUAAUUAUUUAAAUAAAACUAGAAUAAUUUAUUUAAAAUUUUUAAAUAUAACAUAUCGAAAAAAAAUUCAUUUGUUUAGAUUAAUAUAUGAAAAUUAACUAAAAUUAUGAAUUUAAAUGUUGAAAUUUGAGAGCUUGGAUGUAACAGGAAGAAAUUAAGAAACUUGAAGAACUUGAAAAGAAAGUAACAAAUUAAGCUUAACUACCUCUAAUGGUGAAGUGAAACAGUGAUGGUUUGUGCGUGCAAUGGGGUACAAAUUUGGCAUUAUAUGCCAAAAUAUUUUGUUUGGCUUUAGAAUUUUUAAUGUUUAGGAAGCUAUAUUUGUUUAUUUAAUUACUCAAAUAUUUAAUUAUUUUUUAUUUUAUGUUAUUAUUGAAUAAGAUAUAAUAUUGUGUUAAUUUAGCUAUACUUUAAUUAAUUAAUUAAUUUAUUAGUAAGUAGCAUUGCUACAUUUAUAAGUUUUAUUUUUUAUUAAAUAAAUACUUUUUUUUUUCAGAUUCACGAAUUUUUACGGAUUUACAGAAAUAAAUCCAUAUCUAAUCCAUCGACUGUGGUUUUUUAAAUUUUCAUUCCAAUCCGAUCUACCAAUCCACAAAUUAUAUUUUUACGGAUCGGACGAAUUGAGCGGAUCAAAUUGGGUUCUGAACACCCCUAGAGAAUGAGAAUCAAAAUAAAUUAUUUACUUUAGUUGUGUGAAUCGGAAUUGGAAUAAAUUGUACUGUCAUUGAUGUGUUUACUUUAUCUUGGAAUCAGAAUGAAUAAUUUCAAAUUACUAAACUGACCUUAAUUUUUUAUUGUAAUAAUAAUAGUAGUAGUAGUAGUAAUAGUAGUAAUUUUCUAUUAUUAUUAUUAUUUUCUCUCUCUUUUGUUUUUAUUUUUUUAUUUUUCUCUUCUUCUUCUCUUCCUCUUUUUUUAUUUUUCUCUAAUUCAUCGAUACUUCUUCUUCUUCUUUUUUCUUUCGUUUUUAUUUUUAAUUUUUCCCUUCUUUAUCGUUCCUUCUUCUCCGUCCAUUCUCUAUCUUCAAACUCUUUUUACUUUUUCUCUUAUUCUUCAUUACUUCUUCUCCCUUUUUUUUUUUUUUCUCUUCUUUAUUAAUUCUUCUUCUUCUGCGUCUAUUCUUCAUCUUCAAAUUAUCAAGUGAAAAAUACCCACGGUGCCUUACAAGAAGAAUUGGUUUUGUUUGCUUCAAUUAUUUUUUGUAUUUUGUACUUUUGAUUGUUUCAAAAGAGGAUAAACUUGUAAUAAUGCAAUUUAAGUAGGGAUGUUUUAGACAAUUUUGGGUAUGAGAGUCUAAUUCCCAACCCCCCACUCCCUCGUAGCAGACUCCCAUUCUUCAUUCCUAACUUGGUGUUGGACCUACUAAAAUAAAUCCCAUUCCCCUUCUUAUUUCAAGAAGCAAACACGAUUUUGAUUUCAAUUCCCCAAUCCGAAAGUAAACGCACAAAAAUUGUACCCAUAUGAGAUUGCUUAUCCUCGAGUUUUUAGAUUGAAAAAAAAAAAGGAAAAAAGAAUGGCCCCAUUAGGAAGGGAUUUUAAGUGUUAGAUAAAGCCGGUGUUAACCAUUAGAAGGUCUCCGACCUUCAACUGUAAUAUAUUAAACCCAGAUAAAUUUACAUAUAAAUCACACAAACCAACAUGCCAAUCAAAUAAAUUACAUCAACUAACAACAAUUGACACAUUAAUUUUCAUAAUACAGAGGAUGCAGAAAAUUAAAAUGUUUUAUCUUUUCUCCUUAUUUGUGAAUUGGAAAAUGAAAAUGUUAAACAUACAGAAGAGUGAAACAGGAUGGAUAUAUAUACACACACACACACACACAGCUUUGGAGUUCAAUGUCAUCGUAUUGCUCCAAGAAGAUUGGCGCCAUCAAGCUUUGCACCUUCCAGAUGCUGUUUAAUCAUCACCAUAACACCUUCAGUAGACAUUAAUACAUAAUAGAAACACAAAAUUCACAUGAUCUGAAUGUCUGGUCUAUUUUACUUACCGUAUCUCGAAGAUUUACGUGCCGUAAAUAAGCUCUUUGAAGGUUGGCACCCUUUAAAUUGGCAUUACGUAGCUUUGCACCCUGCCGCAUAAAUGUUCGAAGUUUCAACAAAUUAAAGUCUCCUGAGAAAUACAUGUCACGAAAAAGUAGGGCUGAAACUUGCAUCUAAUGUACAAGAUUCAAUCAGGGGUGCUUGUCCCACAGUGAAAGUGUAUGGGGGAAAGUGCACUUUCACAAACCAAAGGGGCAAGAUGUGAUUAUCACACGAUUACAAAAGGACUGUAGUCAAGAGAGAGAACUGAACAUGCAGCUUGUAUUGAGGCCAUGAAAAUUGAUGAAAAGCAGUAACAAGCAACCAUUUUGAAAACACUUCAUAUGGUCGAAUCAAUAAAUCAAAGCUAAAAUGAUGUUGACGAUCGAUAGCUUUUAGGUGAUAAGAGUCUUGGCACUACAGUUAAAAUUAUUAUCUAGGAGUGCACACAUUAAUAAAAAAAAACACAACCAAUAAGCAUGCACUCUUAAUCAGCAUAUAAAUUAACAAGUUAGUUGCACCUUAUGUUGUUCCACAAACAGAUUGCUCGAACAAUUCACAAUCUUACCUUCAAAUUAGCUCCUUCCAAAUUAGCUCCCUCUAGGUUGGCAUUAGUAAGAUCAGCAGUCUGAAAAGUCAAGAGGACAAACAGAUUGCAAUUUGAUUAAAAUCUCAAAGUAGCAACAUUCUGCAUGAAAGAAGAGCAGCACAAUUGGCAACAUACAUUUUAGAUUAAGAGGAUGGGAUAAAAGCAAAAUUACAAGGACAUGAAGCAAAUGAGCCAUGUUUAGUAUGGCAAUUUUGACCCAAUAAUUGUGGCAGGUCUUGGAGAUAACAUAGGCAUACACAUAAGGCAGAAGCAAAUACUGUCGCAAACUCCUAGCUAACUACAAAUGUUCCAUAUAGAAAAAAACACCUGCAAAAGUAAGGGAAAAAGCAACAGAUAAAGAACUCAAGAUGCUAGACCUGUAAGUGUGCAGAUCGCAGGUCUGCUCCACAGAAGCUGCAGUCUAUCAAGCAAGCAUCUGCAAUGAUUUAAGAUAAAUUUGAAUCCAAAUGACAUUUUACCGCAAGUAGUUCCAGCCAUUUUGGGAACAAACAAGAAAUGCUAUUUUGUAUUCAUUGUAAUUCCUUAAGCUAAAUAACAAUCAUGUGCUAUCUUAACCAAGGUACAGUUGCAAAUUCUGAAAUUGUGAUGCCAUAGGUUGUUCUUAAUCUUUUUGAACUGAAUAUUGAAAAAAUAUUCCUUCAAUCAUAAAUGUUAAAUAAUUAAAAGAACUGUGAGGGGGGNNNNNNNNNNNNNNNNNNNNNNNNNNNNNNNNNNNNNNNNNNNNNNNNNNNNNNNNNNNNNNNNNNNNNNNNNNNNNNNNNNNNNNNNNNNNNNNNNNNNNNNNNNNNNNNNNNGGGGGGGGGGGGGGGGGAAUGAAUAAGCGGAUGCAUACAGAAAAUUAUGGAAAAUCUGUUAUGGAAAUAAUAUGAAAAUGGGUAUGCAUAACUACAUACUGAAUCUUGACUAAUUUCAAUUUAAUUCAGAUAAGAAAUUCCAGUAUGGGAAUUGCCUUGUAAAUUUGCACUCUGAAGAUUUGCACCAGCUAGUAAAGCUCCACGAAGGUUUGCCCCAGCAAAUUCACAUCUUCCCUAGGCAAGAUAAAACCCUUAAAAGGCAAUUUUGAAAAAUACAUAUAAUUGGGAGAAUAUCCAGUAUUGCUUUGACUCUCUUACUCACGCAAAGUUGCAUUGUGAAAAAUGGAACCCUCAGCAUCCACAUCCUGUAUCAAGAACAGACAGAUUCAGUAUGAUUAAUAUAACUGGUUGCUGGAAGACAGGACAAAAUCGCAUCUUGUCACUGUCAACUUGCAUGUUAAGAAUUAAACACGAAAACUGCAUGCUGUCCAAUUAUAAGAAACCUAUAAAAUUCAAAUCAACAUCAAUACUGGCUUAAGGAAGAUAUAAAAAUAAAAAUUAUACCAACCCGAAAUUUCGCAGAUUGAAGAUUUGCACGUGAGAAGAAAACAUUUCUAAGACACGCAUAGCUGAAGUCCACAAGUGAAAGAUCCUGGCCAUUUUAAUAAGAUAGCAUCAGAGGAAACAAUAUCUAAUGAAUAUAUAAUGUUCUUUCUUGCUUAUCUGAGAAUACUAAUGAGAUUAUCAAAAAAACUCUAAGCUACUGCUAAGAAGUCUUGUGUUACAUGAGUAUGAAUUGAGGAGGUAAAGAAGACCCUUCUCCAAUAAGUUACCAUAGAAGCCACAUAAAACCCUAAAGCAGUUACAAACUUACAAUGACCAGAAUAAACCACCCCAACUAUCUAUUGGCAAGUAAAAUCACUUCUCUGGAUUUCUGAAAACUAGCAAAACAAAUGCAUAAAUUGGCAAAUUCGAUGAUUUCCUCUGAAAACCAAAUUAUAGCAGACAUAAAACUUGGAAGUAUUCAUAGAAUAAAAAUCUUUCAAGCACCUCAAUUCAGUAAUUAUUACCAGCUUAGAAAGAUCAAGGCCAGAAAGAUUAAGUCCUCGAAAUCUGACUUUUUCAGACUGUAUACACUUGAUGAUAUCAAUGCGUGUUAGCUCAGUAUCUAACUCAUUAUCUUCCUUUCUCUUAUUUAUGACAGCAUGGAUUCUCUCAAUUAGUCCCUGAAAUGAAACACAUUAGAUGCAAACUAUUAUUUGAAAAAAGAAAUACAUUUUAUCCACUAACACACAUGGAUUUCAACAGCAAUCAUACAAUAAUUGAGGAAGGACGGUCAUAUCAGACUCAUCUGCCAAGAUUCAAUAAGCACAUCAAACUUGUUUACAUGUAAUUUCCACAUUCCACGUGAAUUUAUAAGGUCUGCCUAAGCAAACCAAAGAAGGCUACACUCAGUACUGUGUGUAUACUGCCUUACCUUUGCUGUUCCCCAGAUACCGUCCUGCAAUCCAGAUACUUAGCUGUGAAGUUUCAAGCCAGCGAAACCAUUUUAAAAGUACACAUGGACACAGAUACCAUUAUCUGAAUCAUCUUCGAUAACAAAUUAAAAUGCCCUAGCGUUCAAAAAACUUAGGAUCUCUUUAAGUGAAGUUCCUUUAAAAAAGUAGAAAAAAACUGAACAACAAUGUCAUGCUAAUAAAAGGUAAAAAAAAUAAAAUAAAAUAAAGCAUAAGGACAGAAGUUCACCAGGAGCAUGCCAGUAUAAACCAAAACGACCACAAAUCUCAACCAUAAAAUUUAAAGUAGUAAAGUAAAUAAUCAAGGGCAUGCAGUUGGCACAGGUGCUUCCAAAUAAAAUGAUGAUUCUUUUCAAACAGAAAAAAGAAAUGGAUGUUAAUAAACUAGAAGAAACCAUGUCUUACAAGUAAUUGAUAAUAUUCUGCUUCCCGUAGAAGCUCUAAAAACUCUGACUCUGUUAAUGUGGGGACAGCCCCAUCCCUUAACCAAUUCAGAAUAUGCCGAAAAUGUUUUCCGUCCCUAUCAACAAAGAUAUAGCCCUGCAAUAAUUCAAUAUGCUCAAAGAUAAGAAUCUGAAUAAUAUACCCAAGAGAAGUGCUUUUCCCUGGAAUAAUAAAAAGAAAAUAAGUCAAAACGUUUUUCUUAAUGGAAGAACACAAAGGAACAGCUCUAUGACUAACAUGAAAACCAUAAAUCAGAAUAAGAACCCAAAACUGGUCAUUUGGAGUUUCACCAGAUCAAAAAGAUCACAUGGAAAUAAAAUUGUGAAAAUGGGAUUAUUUAUGCCGAGGUCAUGGCUAAACUGCAAUCAUUACUCCAUUUUUGGUAGAAGGAGAAGAAGAAAGAAGAGUAGGUGAGUCAUCAUUCUUUCAGGUGAGUCAUCAUUCUUUCUCUGUGAUUAAUUGAUAUGAUGGAAGUGUUGUAGAUAUUAAUUUGAUAGUGAUUCCUCCCUUCAAAAGAAUUCAUUCCUUUUUUUAUUAUUUCACAAAGUUUAACUAAGACUGAGUUUUCUCAAUUUGAAGGCAUCGUGCACUCUACCCCUUUCUUUUCCUCACAUUGCUUCUUCCCAAUCCCAAAGGGAAGAAAUCAAGAAACAAUUACAAUUUUUAACUAUUCACCAGCAAAAACAAGGCAAAGAAAGAUGCUGAGUGUAAGCAAAAAUAAGAGAGUUAUACACCUCAGAGUCUUGGCACACAGUAUGGCGACCGCUGAACAUAGCUGCAAGCAUAGAUUCAGGCUCACGACGAGUCAGAGUAUCAAUUGUUGUAUAAAAUUUCUUUCCCCCUGGAUAUUAAUACAUAAAAUAUAAAUUUGUUCACUUAAAAGCAUGAAUUGUGCAAAUUUGUCAAUAAUGUCAUUCUUUCACAAACGUUCACCGAAAUGUAUAACAAUAAGUGCAUCAUAACAUAACUAAACGGCUUAAGAACUGCGCAGAUAUUACAUACAGUAGAGAAACAAGAAAUAGAAAAUGAGAUUUGCCCUUUUUAAACAGAAAGCAAUCAAAGAGUAAACUAAAGAGCUAAUAAUUCACAAAAUUCAGUUGAUUAAACUCAUUUACAAGUAAUUAGCAACAAAAUCCAAGCUAAAUAAAAAUAAUGAAAAUUAGGUUCUUAUAACAUCCGUCAAUUCUAUGAAAGUUUACCACGAUCAGCAACAAAUAGAUAAAUCGCAAUAAAGAAAAACCGACGACAUGUCGGUUGUGUAGUGCAUAAGUAAAGGAAUUUGCAGAUGAUGUAAAGAGAAUGAGGGAUAGUAACUGACCGAUGUUGAGACGAACCAUUGAAGACGAAUCGGAGUCCUUCGCCAUUGUCGAGUGUAAUGACUUGUCGUCUUACUUGCGCUCAUAGGUAUUUAUAUCAUAGCUGACACUGUUCGAAGGACAGCAAGGAUUUGGUGGGCACAAAUGCAUUUUGGAAAUUGGGCUUCGGCCCAAGAAAUCGAAAAUCAGAGGCUUUUUUUUAAAAAAAAUUUAAAAGGAUUAGAAUGUCUAUAAAUUAAUAGGGCUGAGACCAUCUUAAAUCUAUUAAGUAAAAGAGAUAUUAAAUAUUUUAUUAAUUAAUAAUUUAUUAAUUUACAGAAUUAUUUAUAAUUCAAUUAACAUACAUUUAAUAACUAAACAUUCAAUGUACAUAAUUUCUGAUUACAAUUCAAAGCACUAACAAUACUUCAUAAUUUCUUAUUACAAUUCAAGAAUUCAACCUCAUAGCUUUUAGAUGCAAUAAGAAAAAUAAGAAAUAAGAUUCAGUUAUAUUUAAAUUUUAAGAAAAAAACAAUAAAAUCAUAUUUUAUGUAAUUAAAAUAUCAUAGUCAACUACAUUUGUAAUUUCAACAAAUUAUUACUCUAUGAUUUAAAUGAGACCACAAAGUUAUAUAAGAUUUUAUCGAAAUUAUUAAUUUAAUCCAUUAGUCCAUGUCAAGACCUUGAAAAUUUAAUAAUUAUAUAAUAGAGAUUAUUAAUUUAUCGAGUAUUAAUUUAUAGAAGUUCUGAUUGUAUAUUAUUUUAUAUUAAUAAAGAAUAAAGUAGCAUUCUUUUUUAAUUCCGAAGUAAUAAAAUUAUGGCUAAAUUAAGAGAGUAGAUAUAUUUUAUAACUUGGUUUAAUAACAUCACGCGCCUCCCUUGUAGUUUUGCAGCUUUGAAGCUUUAUAAUGAAUCCUAUUAGCUUUGGCUGGAAAGUUAUAUUGUUAAAGAGAGUUUAUAUAUUAAACAAGGUGAUCUAAUAUUUCCAAAACUAAAUUUGGGAUCAAAAAUAGAAAACAUUUGCAUGUUUUUACCUUUUGGAAGAAUUACUUGAUAAGUGCUUCACAGAAAAAUGCUUGCUAUUAUAGAGCACCCUAAAAAAAAUCCUUAAUAAUUGAGGGAUCAUAAUAAAGUUCAAUUCUAAAUCUGUCAGAUAGAUCGAAAGUAACAAACCAUAUAUAUUUAAAUCUAUUUAGUAAUCCAGGGUUACAAGCCAAGCGUGCAAUAGCCAAUUCUGAAAAUCAAAGCUCAGCCUAUGCUCUCUGAGCACAAAUAAGAUCUGAUAUAUACAUAUCGAAUCCUCCAUUAUGUGGAGUGAAAUUUCCAUCGUGUACGGUGUACCUAACAAUGAGAAAGCAUGGCAGCAUAAAUUCAUCUUCCAUGUUAUUCUACUUAUUAGUACUGGUUCCCUCAUAACUUCUCCAAAUCGGGGAGGUCUGCAAUGUGUAAAGCACGUAAUCAGAUAAAAGAAAGAGAGCCAAAAAAAAAAAAAAAGGUAACAGCCAAAAGAUUAAAUUUCUUUGAGAAAUAGAAAAUGGGAGCUUUUGGCAUAGGCACAGAAUAGAAAGUAACAGAGUCAUUUACAGUUGUUCAGAAUAUGCAAGCUGAAAACAACUUUGAAUGCAAUGGACAAUUCCUCCAACAAACAAUCGAAUUGGAUUGUGGAAGAGACAAAAGCUUAAUGAGGUUAUGGUUUUGGCUAGGUGAACUCAAAAUUCUUUUAUAGACCAAGUAGGUAAAAACAAAUCCCAUAUAGAUGGAUGAACCUCAUACCAUGAACAGUUAAUCGCGAACACUUGCAGGCUUAUGCACACGACUAUGAAGAUACUAAGGGUUUCACCGAUGGUAAGUGAAAAAUAUAUGAUGUAUAAUUUAAAUGGAAGCACAUAGUUUCGGAUUGAAUUCAAGGUUAAAGUUCCACAGACAGACAGAAGAGAUGAAGCUUAAAAACUUACAGAGCAUUCCUUCAUCAUCACUGCUUUCAUCAUUUUGGCCAACAUGCUGAAAAAAGAAUAUGAUUCAAGUUAAAUGAUUGAGCAACAAUAAAAAACGUGCAAAAUUAAUGCUCUCUCCACAAAAAUUUCAGUCUAUAUUGGUAAGAAGAAACAGGAAGAAAAAAUUACCUCAGCAUCAUCGUCAUUGGAAGCCAAAUCAGCUGUAAAGACCACAAAAUGUUUGGUUAGAACCAGUGGAAGUCUUACUCUAAAAUUUUUAAUUUUUGAAUUUCGAAAGAUCUCGUAAUGACAAAGAUUUUCAUAUCCAGUGACCAAGUUUUGAAAAUUAGAAUACGGAAUGACAUCAACUAAAUUCACUAAUAUAAGCUAGAGGAAUCCCUAGUAGAUAUAGCGCACAUGCACACAUGAUAUGCAUCCGAAUACACAAUAAUAAAUUAUCUCAAAGUCAAUAAGAAGCCAAAAUUAGAGAUAAACUUUUAGCCACUAUAAGGAAGACUGAUAUUUGCAGUGUGAUUACAAUAAACAAACAGAAACUUCACUACCCAUAAGUAAAACAAAAUAAAUAAAGGAUAAUAACUAACCAAGAAAUGGAAAAGCUCACAUUCUCUGAACACGCACCCCAAAAAGAAAGAAAGAAAUAAAUGUUCUCAUUGGAUCUGAAGCACAAGCAAUCCACUGACAUCCUUCUAUAAUUAGGUAAUUUAAAGGGGUUAAGCUCACAUCUUUUACGGAAGUAAGAAGAGAAUUAACAACCUUCCAGAGGAUUUAGGGAAAUACCACGAGGCAAGAAAAAAGAAAUAUCCUUCUUCAAUCUAGAUAUCCUGAUACUGCUCACCAUCUACAACAGUCUGUGGCUUAAAAAGCAGGUCACUGAUCUCUCCCUCCCUCUGGCACCAUUUUCUCUCAUGUCUCAUUUUUCCCUUCCUGCCAACUCCCACUACAGUAUUGAAACCUAUUCUAUCAACUCUUCCCCCUCCAAUAACAAGACCAAAACCAAUUUUACUCGCCGGUUAGCUAGGUAGUAAAUGGAAAUUUGUGAAUCUGUCAUUCAUCCGUAGAAACAAACCAGAACUGCAUAAAUUCUCUUCUCUCCCAACAGCUUCUUUUCUCCAGAAAUAGGCACAAGUAUUUGACAUGGAAACAGUUUAUCUAACAUGGCCACCUUUAAAGACAAAGACAUACUAAGGACGUGGUUUUAGAUACGGAUACAAGAAACAAUCACAAAAUGUAAAAUCUAUACAUAUGAUAUUAAUUUCCAAUGGAUACAGCAAUUCAUUCUUUGACAUAACUUCAUCAGAUUACUAGGUUUGAUUAGGUUAUACACACAUUUAUUCAUUUAUUGAAUCUACAUGCACUUAGAAUGAGAGGUACCUAUAAAAACAAGUUACCAGAAAACAAUACAGCUAGAAAACAUUAAUCUAAGUAGUUCUAUAGGUUUAACUAACUGCAGGAAAAAACCAUUGAUUUUGUCCGCCAGAUUAUCGAGAUCCUAAUUCUGGUAAAAAGAAAAUGAGAUAAUAGAAAAUCAAAAAUUAAAUAGACACAAAAUGAGAAAUCAAGAUCAUAUGGCAACUAAUAUAUAGCAUGGGCUGCAGCUAACAAGCAAUAUAAGCCAUGAUAUUAUGCCAGAUACAAAUUUUGAGAUCCAAGAGAGAUCAAGAAGCAUGAAUACCACUAAAAUAUCGAAAGAAGUGAGUGCAGAAGGAUAAGAAAUCAGGUUGAUAUUCUUCAUACUUUGGAUCAACACGUAGUGAUGCAAUAAACUUGUAAUUAGCUUCAAAUGUAUAGGCUACCAUGUCAACAUUUCCGAAAACACACAAGAUUGUGCUGGAUUCAUACAUAGUACAUAUAUAAAAAAACAAUCUGCUUCUAAACUUCAUGAGAACAUCGAAUAAUGAACUUACAAUUUGAUCCCUCAUCAUCUUCAUCGCACCAUUUGUUCCAAUCAACCUUAAUGUAAGGUGCUGGUUUCUCUUCUGACUUGAGUAGCCUUUUCCACCAACCUUUCUCUUCUUUUUGGACCGAGCAUAUUAUGUUCCUUAAGCCAACUUUAGUCUUACAUUUCUGCACCACCAGCAACAAAACUCAAAGCAUUACAAAAGAGGUAUAUUUAGCCGCUCUUGACUCGAGUGAGAGAACAGGAUAAAUAGCCUAGGUAUAUCCACAUCCAUGUUAUGAGAUUGAUUAUGCAACAGCUAACUUUAAUAUAAAGCUUUUGCUUCAACAAAGACUAAAAUGUUUGUAAUUGUUAUGCUUUUGGAGCUAAAAUGUUUGGCAAACACCCACUUUUACUCUGCACCUAAUAUCUACCACCCACCCACACACUAAGUCUCUCGUUUGGUACAGCUAUUUAUCAGUAGUGGCUUUAAGCCACAACAUUUAAAGCGAAUUUACCCUAAAAUUUUACAAUGAAAAACCUAUACUACCUUUAACAUUGUUGUCAAAAUUAUUAUUAUAAGUAAUAUUUACCAAACACUAUCAACUUCCAAUUCAUAUCAAAGAGCUUUCACUCCACAAUAGCCGUGUCUUCUUAAGCCAGAACAACACAAUACCAAAGGCCUUAAGCUAGUGAUUUGAUUUCACAACAACUGCAGAUCAAGCCUCAAUCCCAAACAUACAUAAAUCAAAUGCAGAAAGCAAAAAUUUAACAAUAUGUUUGGUAUACUAAAUGUCUUUCAUAGUUUCAUUUCACAGGGUAUUUAGACAUGCAAUGAUAAAUUGGAGCAAUUUCAAGAACCGAAUUGACCUCAGGUAAAAUUUUGCCAAAAAGUUCCAAGCUGAAGUCGUAAAGCUCGCCUUGGACUCCGACGGCCGAGAAGCCAAAAAUCCCCUGAGGCUCGCAUUUCACAGAAAUGUCUUUCGCAUCGGGUAAUGAAAUGGUAAGGUAUACUUUAUCGGAGCGCUGAGCCCAAAGAACCUCCGGAUGGCGACUGAACAUAAAAGAAAUAAUAAUAAUAAUAAUAUUAUUAUUUUUUAUUGUGACAAUUUUGAACUAAUAAUUAGAGACAUUUAACAACAAUAUUGAUUAAUAUUGGAGAAGAAAAAUAAGGUUACAAGAGAGAAUCAGAAAGAUUACCUCAUUCUGGUGGAUGAUUGAAAACGGUGGGUCGAUUGAUGAACAGAAGUGUAACUGUCUGGGAGUGAGAGUGACUCUGCUGUUUACUGGGUAGAGUGUGCUUACUCGAAGAAAUUGAAAGUGAUAAUCUCGGGCAAGCCAACACGUCGAUUUGGUCAACAGUGGUCCAACAAACCAGGAACUAGGUUUUUUUUUUUAAAUGAUUUUUUUUUUCAGUAUUAUAUUGCCCCGCCCGUGGGCUAUUACAUUUUGGCCCUUUUGGGGACCCCUCGUUCUCUUACAAGAAGGGAAUAUUCUUUUCCAUCCACCGGUUUGUAGGCAGAGUACAUAUACUCUUCGAAAUUAAGGACAAAUUUCUGAAUCGUGCCGCAUUAGAAUUAAAUUGAGUCUCAAAAGAAUUUUGGUUAUAAGUAUAUCGUUCAAACGGUAAUAUAUUAAAAAAAAUAAUAUUUACUACAAUGUAGACCUAUCGGGACUUUGAAGCCCAGACCAAUUCUUGAGUCUAGCCUAAUAACACCUCAACAGAUCAAAAUUGAAAUCCAACUUAAAUUUCAAUAUUGUGUAGGGAUCUGCCUUAAUUUAGAUAUGUCAAGACCUGCCUUAGGCAUCAAAGUGAUCUAUCUUAACAUAACUAAGACUUUCUUUAAACAUCACAAUGAUUUAUCUUAACGUAGUCAAAUCUAGCCUAAAAAAAUCUAAAGAAGGAAAAAAGAAAUUAUUUUCACGUAUUGAGAGACUUAAAUUCUUAACCUUAUUCAUAAGAAAAAAAAGUGUAUUACUUAACUAAAUCGUGACUAAAAAUUAUAAUUAUUAUUUUUUGUACAUUUAGCUUUAAAAAAUCAUUAUAUAUAUAUAUUCAUAUAAGUUUUGACAUAAUAUACAUACCACUUAUUUGUUUUUUAAAUUAUACGAGAAUGAAAAAACUCAAGCAUUAAACACCAACUUUUGUUUCAUGCUAUCAAUCAACUUGAGAAAUUUUAUAAUAUAUCGGAAGUUCUACGUCACAAUUUAAUACGAAGCCUUCGAUUAAUAAUAAUUAGACACAUGACAAUAGAUGCUAGAGAAAUUUUAAAUUCCCUCUUUUCAUUAUCCCUCCAAAUUUAGAAUUUCAAAAAAUUAGAGAAUAAAUGUUGCUUGCUCUCUUUGUUAUCUAAUUCUAAUUAUUAUUUUUUUCUCUCUCUCUCCAAUCAAGUUGCUAGCAUUUUUUAAAUCUAUUGAAGAAUAAGAAGAAGGUUUUUGUCGAUGAAAUGAUUUUGGCAGCCUUUUUUACCCAAAGCUAACAUGAUUGCUGCGACUACCAAUGAAGAAAAAGAUGUGUUUUGCUGGCGAAGAAGAUGAUUUUUGAAGCAUGAGUGGCUGCCGUUUAUUUUUUUCCUUCAUAUUUUUCGAUGUAGUGGCUGUCCUCAAGUUUUAUUCAUUUACUUUUCAGUUGGCCUACUAUUUAUUGGCAUAAUGAAAAAUUUUAUUUUAAUAAGCAUUUAUAGAUUAAUUUGAGGAGGUUUCUUUUGCAAUAUUAGUGUGGUUUCUGCAUUGGUAUGAUUUAAAUUACGAACUUGCUACAAUCUUUAAUUAAACUGUCAAAAGUAAUUUAAAAAAUCUUUAAUUAAACCGUCAAAAGUAAUUUAAAAACUGACAGUAGAUAGAUUAGAGAUAGGCUUGACAAUUUAGCCCGACUCUAUUUUUAGUCUGAUUGAUCCGAUCCUAAUUUUUAAGACUUUGGCCUGAAUUUUUUGAUUUCGGGUCGGGUUCGGGUCAAAAUUUUAAGGCCCGAACAAAUUUAGGGUCAGGGUCGGACUUAAAACCAACCCGACCCGACCCUAUUUAAAAAAAAAAAAACUAACACACGCACACAACACAUGACAGUUCACUCUCUCUAAAUCGUAAAUCACACACACAAAAUACACUUACACAAAUUCACAAAAACCCUAAGCCAGCCACCCAGCCUGCUGCCGUCCUAUCAGCCAACAUCGUGACCGUCCGCCGCACGCCAGCCAAUCAGCCGUCGUCUCGUCGUCGCAUGUCUCACCAAUCAGCCAUCGUGACCGUCUGCGACGCUGCGACAUGAACUUGAACCAGCCGCCCUUUGUCGCCGUCCUGCCGCAUCCGCCUGCCAGCCAACGAUCAAUGCACACAGUUGAAUUGUGGGGUGGGAAAUGGUUUCGAUAGGGUCGGGCUCGACCCGACCCUAACUAUAAAGAGGUAGGGCUUUUUUAGGGUCGGGUUUUAAUUUUUUGUUGAUCGGGUCGGGUCGGGUUUGGCCAAACCCGAGCCCGACCCGACGUUUUGCCAUCCCUAAUUAGAGAUGAAGAUUGGAGAGAGAGAAAAAUAUAAUUUGAAUGAGAUAAUAAAGAGAGAAGAAAUUCUAUAAUACAUCAUAAGUAAUAUAACUCAUUGAUGUAUGCAUGAUAUAUGUAAUUAACCUUAAUAUAACUAACACUUGUAUGGUGAUAUUUCAAAAUAAAUAUACAUAUGUUAUAAAAUCAUUUACUUAUUGUAUGACUGACAUUUUAUUUUUGAUGUAUUGUACAAUUUCUCAGAAGAGAGUAGUAUUUAUUAUCUCUAAUUUUUUGAAAUUCUAAAUUUUGGAAGGAUAAUAGAAAGAGAAAUUUUAAAAAUUUUUCAACGUAUAAUGCCAUGUAUCUAAUUAUUAUUAGUCGGUGUUCCACGUUAAAACGUAAUAUAGAACCUCUGGACCUUACUGUAUAAUGUACUGUAGAAUUUCCUGAUCACACACUUUCUCAGUUGCAAAAGAGGUGGGCAUAUGAGUUCCUUACGGGGAUUUAGUGUGAAUCCACGCAAAGCCCAUAUAGAUUUUUCCGGUUAACCGCUAUGGCAUCCUAGUUUUAAACUCAGUACUAAAUUUACAGAUCCAUUUAAACCCCCCAAAUCAGUCUCUCACCGUCUCAAGUCUCAAACAAAAAACCUGACCGGAACCCAAACCGCCAAAUCCGAUUCGAUGGUGGACUGUGCUAAAACCCCUAAAAUUCCAAGACUGACAUGCGGUAAAGGAGAUGGUGAUAGACUUAGCAAUCUUCCGGAGCACAUCAUUUAUCACAUAUUCUCGUUCAUGGAAACAGUUGAUGUUGUUAGAGCAAGCACUGUUUCGCGAAGAUGGAGGUACUUGUGGCUUUCCGUUCCUUAUUUGAACUUCGACUAUCACACAAUUUGGUCAGACCCGGAAAGUAGAUGGUCUCGUAGGAAAAUCAAUGAUAAGUUCAAAGAUUUUGUCAACUGGGUAAUAUUUUCUCAAAAUGGGUCUGUUAAUAUUCAAAGAUUUCGUCUUUGCUGCUGGGAUUAUUUAGCAAGUUACGAUAACGAUAGAACGAUUUACAGAUGGGUUUCUGCUAUGGCACGUCGAAACGUGCAAGUGCUUGAUCUGGCUAUAGCUUCACUAUACCCAUUUGAGUUUGACUUGCCACAUAGUCUUGUAACUUGUGAUUCAUUGGUGGAACUGAAGUUGAGUUUGAGCUUUCAUGUUCACCGAUGUUUUUUAAAGCUGCCUACUGCUGCUGGUUUUAUUGGGCUCAAGUCUCUUGAUUUACAAAGUGUUGCGUUGGAUGAUAAUUUGUUUCCUGAAUUUAUUUCAAAUCUUCCCCUGCUUGAGAAUUUGUGUAUGUUGUCAUGUGUUUUUCCUGAAUUGAAGGUUCUUGACAUUUCUUCCACUAAUUUGAAGAAUUUGGCUCUGGAAUCCAUUGUUGGCAAUGAUAAUGCUGGCAAUGAUGAUGCUGGCAAUGAUGAUGCUGGCAACUACAAGCUUAAGAUUGCUUGUCCAAAUCUUGUGUCUUUUAAUUAUAUAGCUUUAGCUCCAUGGUUACCUCACUUUGCUUUUGAGAGCUUAAACUCCUUGCAAAAUGCAUUCAUUGACCUGGAUGAUUAUAACGAGGAUGACAUGGAGAACGAAAGAUGUCAUGUUUUAUCUACAAUCUUCAAUGACUUUCGUGAAGUUAAAGUUUUGAAAUUAUCAGAAGCCAUUCUUCUCGAGGUAUGAUUUCAAAUACAUUCAUUGCACCAAAUCAUGAUUCUGCCAGAACUUGUCUACACUUUUUUAUUUUGACAUUAGAAAUGAAGCUUAAGUAAACUGAAUCUACUUUCUUUGUUUGGUAAAAUAAGAAUUCUAUUGAUUAUGGAACCUUCCUAAAUGCUAAUUUGUUCUUUAGACUGUGUAUAAGUCAUUGUGACAUUGUAUGAAGUCUCAUUUAUCUGAGUAAUCAAUUGUUAUUGAUGUCAAAGACUAGAACUCAUUGGUGACUUGAGUUUAUGUAUAUUAUCGUUUGUUAGAUUUUUUGUGUGAUUAUUGCACUUAACUUGACUAAUGUAUUCUCUUUCUUUUUGCCAUUGUUCCUCCAGGUUCUUGAUCCUGAUCCUGCUCACGAAGAACCAGCAUUUUUUUCCACUUCAUUCAAUAAUUUGAAGUCCUUAAUACUUUCUGCAGGUCCGGGUGUAUGUCUCAUGCCAUCAAUGCUUAGGUUGCUCAACUGCUCUCCAAAUCUAGAAGCUCUUGCAAUAUAUUCUCCUAAGGUAAUCUUAACACCAAAAACUAUUCCAUUUGUUAGAUACCGUCGCUUCUAUCCAUUUUUUUUAAAAAUCAUAUCUCCCAUUUAUGUGCUAAAAUUUUAAUUUUGUUAAAGUGCAACUGGGCUUUGCUUAAAUUAUCGCAAUAGAGUUGAAACCUGAAAGUAUUUGUGAUAUAUUAUGUUUACCGCUUAGAGCUUAAAGUAAAUGUUAAUCUUGUGGCCUCUUGGUUGUUCCCAUGCUAUUGCUUGUUGAGCAGAUGGUUGAAUUUAGAGUCAAUCAAUCGGUUGUGUUCUUCUGAGGUUUGUGCAAGUUUUGUAAAAGAGCAAAGUUUAGUAUUUGUUUAGUUUGUGAAAAUGAUAUAGCUUUUUCUAAUUCAUCUUACUCUAUUCUUUGCUUAAAAAUGAAUUCUCCUUUUGAUUUGAUUCCUUGACUGCAUUUCGGUCUGUUUUCUCUUGGCAGCAUCGGCGUGGAUAUAAUGCUUAUAGGAAAACACCGAACAAGGCUGCUAUUUCAUGUUUGACAAAUCAUCUCAAGACAGUUGAAAUAAAACAUUUUAGCGGUGAUAUGAAUCAACUUGAAAUUGUGAGGUUUCUUCUAAGGAAUGGACAUGUAUUGCAGAGAAUGAGUAUUAGAUGGGUGGCAGAUGUUAAGAAUCAAGGGAAGAUUAUCUCAAGGAUAAUGAAGUUUCGGAGAUCAUCUUCAAGUGUUGUGCUGAAAUUCCUAGAUCCUAAGCCAGCUGAUGAUUUUUCAGAUUAUUUAUUUGAUGAUGAGCAAAAGAACUAAAAUUAUGUUUAAAUUAAAAAAAAAAAAAGUGGUUUAAGUGUAUGUUCGAAUUAAAUAGUCUUUUGGAUUUGUAGAAACUGAAAGGAGUACAGUGCCAGUCACUGUGGCAGCCUUAUGUUUUGUUUGAAAAAAUUCGGAAGCUUCUAAAUUGUUAUAUACCUCAAUUCUGAAGUCGUUAGUAUGUAUAUUAUAAGCAAUACAUAUGUUCCAUUUGUCAUAUUUUAUUUUGGCAUUACGAUUGUUUUGUCUUGAUUAAUAUUGAUUAUAAUUUGUUUAACAUUUAUCUGGCAUAUGUAGAAUUAUACUUUAUCUGAGUAGAUGACGCUGCUGCGUACAUCUUCAGGACUCGGUCAUAAACUGUUUAUCUCUGCGUCUGUCUAGCAUCCAUCCACGUAUGACCUGUCGGCUUUUUGCCCGCAAGCAUACAGUUAGGGGUGGUAAAAAUAUCUGUCCGGUCUGGAUUCGGUUCGCACCCGGAUGUUUUAUCCGGCCCGGUCUUGGGCAUCAUUUGAUAAAUUCGGAACCCGAGUUUUAUUAAGCGCCUUGGCCGUACAGCAGUAUAUUAUUUUAAAUAUUUAUAUUUAUUUGACUCAUUUAUUACAUAUAUAUAAAGUUUUAGACACUUAAAGUUUAUAUUUUCAUGUCAAAUUUCAUUAAAAUAAAUUUAAAACUUAUAAAAUUACCAAAAAAUAAAAAAUAUAUACAUAUAUAAUAUUAAAAAAUAUAAAAUCUGGGUACCCAAAUUAAAACCCGGCACAAUCCGACCCAGGCAUCUAUGCAUCCGGGUCGGGUCCGGUCAUUACGAUACCCCGACCCAGCCCAGGGUUUUGCCAUCCCUACAUGCAGUGUAUAUGAAUUGCAGUUCUUGUACGGACAACAUGUCAUCCAUAAAACUCGAGUUAUGUUCUUUUUAAUCUUUAGUUUAGAUUACAUUUUGCAAAACUAAUAAACGAUAGAGCUCCUAGCAAGGUCAAUAGUUAACUGCGAAUCCAGAAGAUCGGAAUGCUAUACCUUUCAAACAUGCAUUUCAAAGCCAUCUGCGGAAAUGGAAAACAAGCAUUUCAAACUCGUUGUUAAAACAAUGAUAAAAGUAAUUUUAAUCCUAAUUUUUAAUUCCAGGCAUGAAGCUAACUCAUAUACAAAGAGAUAUCAAGUAAGCAGAGGCGAAAGCUAAAAGCUUUGGUUACAGGGGUCGGUGUGAAUAAUGUAUAUAUCGUUUAGACAUAUUUUUGAAUAUCUAUUUUAAUUUAGGGGAUAUUAUAUAUAUUUAAAAAAAAUUAAAAUUUUUACGGGAGCCAUGGCUUACUAUAGUCUCCAUUAAGAUUCACCCUCCCUACUUUUCGUACUUCAUUAAAGUAUAGGAUAAAUAUUUACAAUAUUAUAAAUAGAUUUUAUAAAAGCAGUCCAUAUAUGAAAGUCCUUCUGCACUCUGAAUUAAAUAAAAAUAACGUGAGACUAACAAUUUAAGAGUCUUUUUUGCAACGUAUAUCGUGCAGUGAUGUACUCUAUCGACGGAGGACUCUCUUCAUAUGCUUUUUAUUUUUCCAUGCCUGAUUAUAAAUAGGAUCACUCUAUGUUACAUUAAACGUAACGUACACACACUCACAACAACAGUAACAAGUCCCAUCAUUAGAACUGUUGCUGUGAGUGCGUGUAUGUUACGUUUAACGUAACAUAUCACUAGCCUUAUAAAUAACAUCACUUUUAAGGAUUUUUACAAAUUUUUAUUACAACCGUAACUUUUGUCCUCAUACAAUAACGGUGUCCAUUGUCCACAUAUAAAAAGUUCAUCAAUAAACAUAUAACCUAAUUAAAAUUCGUGACAAAAUCCAAAGGAAAGAAAGCGUGGAGUAAUAUAUAUAACAAAGGCAUUGAGCAUACACCAGGUGUAAUUUGCAUUGCAUGGCCACCCUUACGUGGCAGUUCCGCCGAUUAACACAUCUUUAAAAGUUAAAGCCCCCCUCUCUCCUUGUUAAGGGCGUUUCAACACAACACUCAUCAAUGCAAGCAAAGAGACAGUGAAGGAAAAAUUAAGAAACCAAUAUUGUCACUUGGAAGAAAGAAACAAUCAUUACAUAUAUAAUACGAUGGAUACUAAGAACAACAGGAAGCAUUUGUCCUGCAUUGCCAACGACGUCGUUCACAGAUGUGCACUGUACGUAUCUCUCUCUCUCUCUCUCUCUCCUUUUCUUUUUCUCCCCGAUCACUUUGUUUUCUUUAUAUAUACGAAUGUAUGUAGAACGUAGUAGGUUUUGUAUAAAUAUCUGUUGCACACAUUAUUUGAUGUGCAUUUAAAUAUAAUUAAUGGUAAUUGAGAUGACACACAAAGACAAUGCAAAAAAAGAAAAAAAAAGAGAGAGUAAAUUAAUGAAUUUGCCUUGAUCCAGUUAAUUUGUGUGCAUUUAGCUGACUGUAAGGUGGUUUCGAGUGUGUUUUUGUUUGGCAACUUUUCACACAAAAGCACUUUUGGGAAGCACUUUAUGUAAUGUAAGUGCCUCUAAAAACUGUUUUAUGUAUUACUGCCAAAUGCAGUGCAGAGGUUACAAUGGGAGGGUCGGUUUUAUACCUGUUCUUCGAGACUUAAUUUCAAUAGGAGAUUGAAAUAUUUAUGAGAAUUAUGUUGUUAGCAGACUUAAUUCUUUUGGAGGAAUUCAUUCCAUCGUAGACCACUCAAUGAAUUUGGUCGAUUGAGAUUAUUUGAGUGCAUGCUUCAAAACUGGAGCAUUAAUUCUUUGACAUAAAUGGGCUUUAACAUAAGGCGCGUUCGCUUAUUCCAUUUAUUCAAGAAGUUGGCACUCAAUUUUUUAUUACUAGCCUUUAGAUGGCCAGCAGCCUUUUGUAGCCCUUUCUAGUUUCUACUAAAGUGGUUAUGUGCAAUAGUUCUAUUCUGGGUUGCAAAAUUAUUGUGUCAGUAGAAUCCACAUACAUUAUGUACUUUUCUGUAUUUAAUUUCAAGAGGCUUAGUUAUAUCAUAGUUUUAGGAUUAUAAUAAGUCUGUCCGUUACCAUGUUAUUGGAAUUUUUUUUUUUUUCUAAAUUAGUUGGACACAUUAUUGGAUUGGUCAAUAAAGGAAAGCAUUUGGCAAGUACUUGGUUUGAUAUUAACAUAUAGUUGCAGUAAAGCACAUUAACUUGUGCAUCCUGAAAUUCUUGCAGGCAAGUAAAGGCUUCUGAGGAUUCAUUGGUGGAGGGGUUUGAAGCUGAAUGGAAGCCUGAAAUCGGACAGUAUUCGAAGAAAUUUGUGGAAUAUUGCAGCAUAAAGGCUCUUACUAACAUGUGCCAGAGCAUAGAAGAAAAGAUUAGUGAUGGAUCAUUUAGUCGACUCACAUUUGAUAUGAUGCUUGCCUGGGAAAUGCCUAGUGCCGCCGAUGAGGAGUCUCAUACUGUAAGCAAUCAUCAUAAUACUCAUAUCCUAUAUUUAUUUCAUGGUCCACCAAAUCAUUAUGAUAUUAUCCCAAUUUUGGUGUGCCUAUCUUCUCUUCAAGUUGCUUCUUCUAUUUCUUUUUCAUUAUACAUUCUCUGGUUCUCAUCAGUUUUCGCUCCAAUUAAAAGAAGCAUGAAUUCUUUCACUUAUCUGCUGAAUCUGUUCUAAUGAUUGGGCAAUAGAUUUUUAUUCCUCUCUGUGGUUACUACUAUUUUGAUCUUGUGCAGGAGUGCAUGGGAAAGGAGAAUGAGGAUAGAAAGGCUGUAAAAGUCACUUCAGAUCAUGAUGAAAUUCCUCUCUUCUAUACAGACAUCAUGCCUCUUCUAGUAAGAGCGUCUCUUUCUGAUCAUUUGAGUGCUAAUGUACCGACCAAGCAUUAGCCUUCACUGAAACUCGUAUAUGAUUUCAUGAACAUUGAUUAAUUGUUAUUUUUGCUAACUACUCUAUGAGAUCUGAUCAAAUUAGAUAUAUAAAUGUUGCGAUUGAUCUUGGAUUUGCUUUAUAUUUGGCCAUCAAUUAUAUUUUACUCUUCAUUUUUAUAUUUGUUUGGUUUGAUAAUUUACCCUCUGGCCCAUAUAUAUGAUGGUAGGUUAAUAAUGAACCGAGUGUUGGAGAAGAUGCAUUUGUAUGGAUGGGAUCCUUAGUUCCUCUAGUUUCAGAUGUUAUUAAUGGGAGAUUUACAUAUGAAAUUCUGACAGCGCCAACAGGAAACCGGCUCCAUUCUCCAGCAUAUGAUAUAUUUCUAAAGGAGAUGGACAAGUAAUUCUUCCAAUUCUUCCAUGCAGCAAUUUUACCACUCAGAAACUUUAAGUGCCGUUUGGUUUUGUGACAUGCAAAUUAUCAUGGAACACUCAAAAUGAGUUGUUCUUAACAAUUUCUAGAAUUUGCAAACUCACUAACCAUAUCUGAAAAUGCAGAAGCAUUAUUACCACUUAUUGAUAACAAUAUCUCUGCUCGACUUGUUUGGGUGCUUUCAGCCGUUUUUCAUUUUCUUUUGGAAAUCUUGAUUUCAUAGAUGCAUAAAACAUUUGCAAAAACAAGCAACUCCAAAGGGUGUUGAGCUGGCUGACGAUGAAUUUAUACUGCAUGUGGAGGGAACUGCAAGCACACAGAGAGUAGUGCGCCAUAUUGGGAAAACAAGUUGGCCUGGUAUGUCUUUAGUUUGAUGUCUUACAUCUUUUUAACUGCUGUAGAAAUUGUUACUUGGAUUUUACUAAUCAUAAUUGUUGUCUCUAGGUAGGCUCACACUGACAAAUUAUGCGCUCUACUUCGAGGCUUCGGGAGUAAUAACAUAUGAAGAUGCUCUAAAGAUUGACCUCUCAAAAGAUGCUGAACUAUCUGUUAAACCAACUGCCACAGGUCCAUGGGGUGCUCCGCUUUUUGACAAGGCAAUUGUAGUCGAGUCCCCUGAACAGUAAGCAUAGUUGCACUUAUAUGAAAUUACUGGAGCUAUUAGCAUCGUUAUUCUUAUUUUAAAAAUUGUUAAAUGCUUGGUAGUUAUCCCAUAAGCUAGAUUUUAAAUGCAUAACAUACAAGGCAGACAUCAGAAAGCAUUCUGAUUCGUUUAUUAAAGUUUGUCUUUUAUUAAGCUAAAGAUAUUAAUGCUGCUAGAUUUUUCUAAUUUGGUUGUAGAUAUUGGUUAGUUACACUGUCAAAUGAGCAAAUCUCGUGGAUAUUUCAUAGUGUGGUUAUGCAAUUGUUUUUUGCCCUUCACUUUUCUAGAUCUGAGGGAAUUGUCCUGGAGUUUCCAGAGAUAACUAGCUCGACAAGGCGUGAUCAUUGGCUGGCCCUCACAAAGGAGAUAAUGUUAAUGCACAAAUUCCUGUCAAAAUUCAAGGUGGAAUGUCCAAUACAAGCAUGGGAGAUGAAUGCAAGGACAAUACUUUGCAUCAUAAGACUCCAUGCAGCAAGAGAAAUGCUGAGGAUAUUGCCUCCAGAUCCCACAAAAUUCUUGAUUUUUGCUUUGUAUGAUGAGUUGCCAAAGGGAGACUACGUGCUAGAAGAGCUUGCUGAGAGUCUGAAGAAAGUUAAUUGUGGACAUCCUUCCAGUGCUAGCUCAAUUCUGAGAUGUAUGAACCUGUCAAUUGCCGCAAGUGGAGAAGUAAAAGAAGGAAAAGAACUGGAGGAACAUAAACAUAUAAGUGAUGAAAGCUGUUCAUCACUGGAAACUGCCAUCAAUCAAUCUAAAGAGCAAGCAAAGGCAAUUGAAAUUGCUAAGUCUACCACUGAGGGCCUGAAAGAUGAAGGGAUCAGUGAUAGUAUCCUUGUUCUCUUGGUAUGUUUUUACUUCCAAAUUGUUGUUUAUGCUGCUGAUUUUAUAUUGACAGAAUAAGUAAUGACAUCUCAACAAAUCAUGGUAUUGAGAGCUUGUUUGACAUUUAUCAAACACAGCAAAGAAAUUGAAUUUUAUGAAAUUCCUAUAGCACCCUAUAAUUUGUACCAAAAAAUCUCUGCACCUUUGGCAUGCUGUAUGGUAUGGAAGUAUAGCUGUCUCAGAGAGGUUACUGUUAUUUACUUUAUUUGGUUUUGUAGUAUUGAUGUUAAGUUUGAUUUAAUAAUGUAGGAGCUACUAAAGCCACUUAAAAGUGUUUUACCCUGGAUUCGAGAAGUUGUUUCAUGGGAAAAACCAGCAACCACCCUCACUGUGAUUGCAACAACUCUACUAAUAGUGUACAAGUAAGUCAGUGCUCCCUCGUAAUUUUCUUAUAUACGGAAAUUUUUUUGAAAGUGCAUGUUGAUCAAGAACCACUUCAUUACUUGGCCUAUUAAUGUGUAAACUUUGCAAAUGACUAGUAAACUAUAUAAUGGCAAUGUAGGGAGUGGGUAGGCCAGGCUAUAGCUGCUUGUUUGCUCACCAUCGUGGUGAAGAUGCUUCAGGCAAGAAAAAAAAGGUUGACAGACAAAUGCAAUGAGAUAGUAGUAUGCACUGCUUCAGAUCAGAGCACCGUGGAGAGCAUUGUGUCGGCUCAAUACAGUUUGAUAACUAUUCAUGAGAUGUUGCAGGCAGCAAACAUUAUGAUUUUGAAGAUAUGGUCGAUAUUAAUUUCAAAGGCCCGCAAGGUACUCAUUUUGAUAACCUAUGCUUUCAGCUUAGCAAUUAAAUAUCGUUUUCAAUCAAUAUUGCUUAUUCGUCGUUAGCUGAAGUUCGUUUACCUACUACAUUUGUUGGAUGUCUUCAAUUAUUGAGGAGUCUUAGUUGCAUUUCCAAAUUGUUCUAAAUCCUCGUUUCAUUUAAUGGGUUGCAGCAUGCGGACACGGUUAUGGUGGCAUUGACUGGGUUAGCAAUAGUAUUAGCAGUUGUUCCAUUCAAGUAUAUUGUCAUGGGAGGUGUGCUGUACGGCUUCAUUAUGAACUCGAAGCCAAUGAAGUACCUGGGAAACAACUCAAACGACCAAAGCGGCAACAGACGUCUAAAAGAAUGGUGGGAGUCAAUCCCUAUUAUUCCUGUUCGCGUCGUGGACAAGCUUCCUGAGUGCCCAAAAUAAUGUGUCGGCUCCUGCACAAUCACAGUUGCCUAAAUCCUCUGUUUCUGAACUUUUGUUAUCAACUUACUGCACGAUAUACACUUCUGAGUUUGCUUUUGCCAUCAGAGUAGAACUGUAUCUGAAACACAGCAUACACUUAAAUGCUCAUUACAAAUUUGGAGAAAAGCACAAGUAGAAAAGGAUUGAAGACAUUCAGUAACGUUGAAAUUCUGCAUUUUCUUUAAUUUUUGUUAUGAACAAGUUUCUUAAUUAUUUGUUCUCUUGAUGUAAAAUAGCAUAUUGCUGGGAGUAAUGAAGAUGUGACUGUGCUUUUCCUAUUAGCAUGUUAAUAAAAGCAAAAUGGAAAAUUAUUAGUUACGUCCUCUCGUUUUGCGGCUUAUUGAGCUAACAAGUAACUUCUUCAUUACUAGCGUGCAAGUUUGCAACUAGUGAAUCUCAAAUAUAACUCUACCCAAUGGAUGGAUGUACGAUGGAUGUACCUACCCAAUCAUUUAUUUCUCAUUAAAUCUGUUAAAACAGAAAAAGUCCCGACGUCAUAUUCUUCGCGCCUUUUAAAAAACGACACGUGUCGUAUCCCACUACUCGCGUGCUGGAAACUUUAACCCACUCUGACUGCGUGACAGCAGAUCAUUCCCAAUUCAUUUCAGUUUCACUGUCACUUUCACUCCUCCUCAGGCGCCUUCCGACAAACAGGAAGAAUGCAAACUUGAAAACCCCCAAAAACCCUAACGUUCCCCCGGAGACCCUAACCCACCAUAAACCCUGGCUCUUAAUCCUAGCCACUAUGAGCGACCAAGACGAGCAAUCGCGAGCUCAGAAAGCCGCCCAGUUAACAAGUCCGCUCUCAUCCUCUCUCUCGAACCUUUCUUCUUCUUCAAGAAGCAUCCCCUCUAAUCAAGAUUUCCAUUUCUUCUACAAUUUCCCUGAAUUCAAUCAACCCGUCCAAGAAAUCGCGAACCAAUCGCAGCUCCUCCUACAAUCCAUCGGCUCAUCGGAGAUUUUUAACCAACCGAUCAAUUUUCCUGAUGAGGUUGACAUCUCGGACGCCUACGACUGGCUUGUCGACGUAAACGACAACGUUUUCGAGCGUAUGGAUGUUUCUUUCGACGAAUUUAGUAAAGUAAGAGGGGAAAAUGGGGAAGGAGAUGGAAAUGAAGGUGGCUUUCAGUUGGUUUAUGGGAAGAACAAGAAGAAGGGCGACAUUGUGGGUGGCUCUGCCCCGGCCAGUGUGAAAGUGAAGGACAGGAAAGAGAAAAGCAAGGUGCCGUUUCAUAUAUCGACUAUAACAAAACCGCAAGAGGAGUACAAGAUAGUUGUGAACAAUGCGAACCAGCCGUUUCAGCAUGUUUGGUUGCAGAAGAUUGAGGACAGUGGACGGUUUAUCCAUCCUCUUGUAAGUUUGUUAUUUUUUGAAUAUUUUGAUAUUGGAUUUGACUUACUGGGUUUGUUAAAUUUGUAAUCUGAAAAUAGUACCUUUCUUAGGGACUUUUUAGUGAUCAAUUAUUUCUUUCAUUUUCUUUUUGGGUGGUUUGUGGUAUAUGUUUACGCUUAUCUUGUUUGGAAUUUGUGUGCAAUUCUUAUUAUUCAUGCGAGAAUUUUAACACUAUCAUGUGGUUCAUGCUUGCCAAAAAUAUACCAAAACACUUUUGCUUAUUGCUAUUGCUUUAUUUGUACAGGACAAUCUUUCUGUUUUGGAUUUUGUUGAUAAAGAUAUAGGGGAUGUGGAACCUGUAAAACCUCCCUCGUUGGAGCAGACACCAUUCAAGCUUGUGGAAGAAGUUAAAGAUUUAAAGGAGCUAGCUGCUAAAUUGAAGAGCGUAGAUGAGUUUGCGGUAAAGUCUGACUUCUGUGAUUAUGUUUUAUUGAUAAAUAAUGCCGUGGUUCAGCCUUACUGCAGUAGUUUCUUUUUUUCAGCCUUUUGAUUUCUCUUUUCUGAUGGGGCAUUUCAUAUACAGAACUGAACACUGUCCUAUGUAGAGGAUAUAGUGUAGUUAAGGCACAUGUCACCGAUGUCAGCUACUUCAAAAUUAUAUAGUGCUGGAUGUGGUUUAAGCCAAUAAGACAAGAAAGGGGUGUGGCCGCCUAUGAAGAUACAUACAAAUAUGUUAAUAUUCGAAACAUAUACAAAGAAAUGUGCCUGUAAUAGUUUUCCUGUCUACGUAAAGUAGUAAACCAGCUGUCUAUUUAAUCUUGAUACAAGUUUUGCAUGUUUAAAAAAUUAUCUUUCAUCUUUAACAGUGAGUCCAUUUUUAGCUGUAAUCCUUUUCUCAAGCAUGACUUGGUUUUGCUUUCGUUUUCAUCUCAACAGUAAACCUGUUUGCAACUAGAAAACAUUGUAAUUUUUUUGUAACUUUUCUCUAGGUCGACUUGGAACAUAAUCAAUAUCGAUCUUUCCUAGGAUUGACUUGCCUGAUGCAAAUUUCCACCAGAACCGAAGAUUUUGUGGUAGAUACGUUAAAGCUUCGCGUUCAAGUUGGGCCAUAUCUUAGGGAAGUUUUUAAAGAUCCUACCAAGAAAAAGGUUGGUCCCUUCAACAUGCUCUCGCGUAGCUUUGUGAUAAAUCUUAUUUUUUCCCCCCCAAAUUAUGUUAACUUUUACUUUACUAGGUGAUGCAUGGAGCAGAUCGAGAUAUUGUGUGGCUUCAACGGGACUUUGGCAUAUAUUUGUGCAAUAUGUUUGACACAGGACAGGUUUUAUCCCUUGAAACUCUCUUUGAAAUUUGAGACUUUAUUGAUGAUCUUGUCUGGUUUUUUGUACAAUGGUUAAAUUUAUCUUAUCUUAUCUGCUUUUUUGUGGUCUAAUUUAUGAGUGUUGAUGCAAGCCUUUAUUCUACUAAAUUAGUUAAAUUGAGUUAUCUUUUGAUACUGUAUUUUCAAUUUUGUAAUUCAUCUUAUGUGUUUGAGUCAAGGUUUGGCUUCAAAAAGCCUUGUCAGUUACAUGUCAUCUCUCCCUUAAUUUUUUCAAAGUAGCUUCGCUUGUCAUUUGAACUAUUUGUAUCAUUAUUUUCAAUUUUGAUGUGGAACUUCCCCCAUUUAUUAAUGUUCUUUUGGUUGUUUUUGUGUAAUGCUCUUUUGUAAAUUUUACCGUGGCAUUUAUUUUGUUUUGCAUUUCAAAUAAUAGUGAGAAUUGCUUUUUUCAGUCCUAAGUUUAUUGGUUUAUUGUAAAUAUACUGUAUAUUUAUUUUGGUUUGCAUUGGGAGAUGAUCGUGGGAAUUUGUUUCUGUCUUUUCAUAAGGCCUCAAGAGUCUUGAAAUUGGAGAGAAAUAGUUUGGAGUAUCUUCUACAUCACUUUUGUGGAGUUAAUGCCAACAAAGAGUGAGUCCUUUUGUAAAGUACCUGAUCUGUUUCUCCUUAUAGUUUCCGCCCUUCAUCAUCCUAAGUCAACUCAUUGCAGAUACCAGAACGCAGAUUGGAGAGUACGUCCUCUUCCCGACGAGAUGCUGAGGUACCUUUGGUUCUCUUUUUAUCUUCUUUGUAACCUACUUUUCUAAUGAGUUCUCCAAAAAAAAAAAAAUUAUGAUCUGUUUGGCAUGAAAAUAAUUACUACUAUUUUAAAGUUCUUGUAUUCUUUGGAAAAGCAGAAAUCAUAUAUCAUCAUUUAAGUGUUUGGGGUUUCAUCUUUGCCUGUAUUUUUGUAGAAACUAAUAAUAUUUUUUUUUCUGUGGCUUAGGAUUUGAAUUGUGGGAAUAUCUAUGUUGGAAAUUAAUAAUGAGUGCACAUUGACUCUUGAUAGUGGACAAAUAUUUGGACAGCCAGGAAGGGGAAGGCCAACAAAAGUUUUGGGUUUUUAUAAGUUGAAGUUAUGAAUGGUUUUAUAAUUAAUUAGGUAUAGGUUUCCUCAUUUGGGUAUUUCUGGGAGAUCUGGGUUAUAAGAUUGAGAUAUUCCAGCCUGUAUAGAUAAUUGUAGGGUUGCCUGUGUUUGUGAUAUUCCAGCGCGUUUAUUAUUACUACUUCUUAUAUAUAUAAAAUUUUAGACUCUUUCCAUGUCUAACAAGAAGUUUUCAUGAUAUCACUUGGAUCCUACUCAUGCAGACUUGUAAGGCAUCCUUAGGUGCGGUUAUGUGAUCUGGUUUUUAUAAAUAUUUUUAAAUUUUUUGUCAGAGACAAUGCCUGUAGUGACAAUGUACUGACUUAUCUUUUGGUUAUUACCAAGCUGAAUCAGGUUGCCUGUGGUUUAUGACCAUACCAUUUGGUCUUAUAAAAUGUUCUUCCCUUCACCUCAUGUUCUCAUACUUUAAAGCAUGAAUAAUAUCUAAGGGCCUGAGAUUAUUUCAUUAAUUUUUCCCAAGUCUAGAUCCUUCCCAGAGAAAUGGAUGGAUUACCCACACACUCACCAGUAACAUGUCGUACUUUAUGACGGUUUUGCAUUACUGCUGUAUGUCAUUUAAUUUGCCCUUUUGAGGAUUCUUUAUUUUCUCUGGGCUGAUGUUACUUUGUGGUGCUUUUUUUUCCUAUUUAGUCAAAAUAUAUAUUCAUCAUAGAGUUUCUCUGUUAGAAUUUUCUUAGCUUUGAGGAUUCGUUAGUGGCAUAUCAUCCAAUUGAUUAUACUUGUGAUGACAGAUACGCUAGAGAAGAUACACACUAUCUGUUGUAUAUAUAUGAUAUAAUGAAAAUCAAGUUGUCCUCAAUGCCCAAGGAGUCUGAGAAUUCUGAUACUCCCCUGACAGAGGUAUGAUUUUUGCUUAACUGUUGGUGUUGUUUUGUAAAACUGUUGGGCAUCUCUAUGAUUAUAGAGAAUCCAUUUUUAAAUGCUUUUUUCAGAUCUUGUUGUGCCAUGUAUGACAGACCAUUGCGUCUGGAGAUUGGCAUGGAGCUUAAUAAUUACAAUGUUAAAAAUAGAACAUAAAAUAUUGGGAAGUAUCUAUCAUGACUAAUUCUUCAACUGUUUAAGGAAGAUAGUUUAAAUCCGAAUAUCCUUUUUUGGAUUGUGGACUAAAGAAAAUUGUCAACUCUUGAUUUCUCUUCCCAAGGAUGAAGACGUAUCAGUCUGUUGGCAAACACAUUUUUUGAAUUUUACUUUAGUUAUCUAUAAUUUUACCAUAUUGAGCAAACAUUUUGUUGCAAACAGGUCUACAAGCGCAGUUAUGACGUAUGCAGGCAGCUGUAUGAGAAGGAGCUUCUGUCAGAAAAUUCUUAUCUCCACAUUUAUGGGUUUGUCUUUGUCCCUAUUCAUCUCAGUUUAAGUUUUCAUUUAGUGGCCUCGCCUGUUUAAAAUCUUCUCUCAUACAGUUUUUGUUUGUUUCAUUCUUUACUUAGCAUUACUUCUCUUGUUUAAUUUUAGUUCUAUUUUGGACUUCGUAUUUAUGUGAUUUGACAGAACUUAAUCAGUGGAGCUUAUUUCUCUAUGUUGAAAUAGGUUGCAGGGGGCUGGUCUCAAUGCUCAGCAGCUUGCUGUUGUUGCGGUAUGUCAGUUCUUCAUGUGUUUUUCAAACUUUGCCACUUUUCUAUCUGGAUAUUAUAUGCAUGAGGAUGCUACUGAAAAUGUAUUAUCCGCAUGUUUUGUUUACUAGUUGCAUCUUCAAAUGAAACAAAGUCUUGACCCAGAAGAAUCCGUAACGCACCAAUAGUCACUAAUAGGAUUGUCUUGAGAAAUUUACUUCUAAAUUUUUGAGUGGAUGAUAGAAGGGUGGAUUUUAAGUAGCUGACACAUCAUUGCCAACUGCUGAUAGAGUCUGUUGCAUACUUGAGUAUUCUUGCUAGUUCUGGCCCCAUUGAUCCCACUUCAAUGAUUUGCAGGGUCUUUGUGAAUGGCGAGAUGUUAUUGCUCGUGCAGAUGAUGAAAGUACUGGCUAUGUAUUGCCAAACAGAACUCUGAUUGAAAUUGGUAGAAACCUGUCUGAAUUUCCUCCAACUCUCUCUUCUAUAUGUAUAUAAUCCAUUUGGUGAGUUAUGAGUUAAUCAUAUUUUCCUUUUGUGGUAAAAGCCAAACAGUUGCCUACUACUGCUGCCAAGUUACGUCGAUUGUUGAAAUCAAAGCACUCAUAUAUUGAACGCUAUAUGGGUCCGGUACUUAGCAUCAUAAAAAAUUCUAUGCAAAAUGCUGCUAAUUUUGAAGUCAUUGCUCAAAAAUUGAAAGAGGAACGUAUGGAAGUGGUAAGACCUGCAUGCUCAUGUUUGAUUGUUUUGUUAUAUCAGUGAUCCAAAUUGAUUAUUUUUCUUUGAGAAUUUGAUGUUAAUGCCUUCAAUGGAUUGCCAACAUACAUUGAUUUUCUUUUUCUUUUCCUUGGAUUUCGUUAGAAUCAGACCAACCAUCUUUUAAACGAGGAUGAUGGUCCAAAACCUUAAGGUCUACUACGAUGAAUUGCUACUUUUUGUGCAAGUUCUUGUAAUUCACUCAGCUGGUUGUCUUCGGCAAAUGAAAGGAAAAAGGAAAUUCAUCCAAUCCAGUUCUAUUGAAGAAAAAGAAUCCUAGUUGAUCUUACAAAAUUAAGCUUUCAUAAUUUGUUAACCCAUGGAAUGUGAUUAAAACUCAUGGACAAAGGAUGUUCCAGUUGAGAAAGGGAUUUGAGUGAUUUUUAGCAAUUAUCAGUGAUGUCUUCAUUAGAAGUAAGUUUAUGGUUUAUAGCAGUAAAUGCUCAAUAAUUAGGUACUCCUUGUAUAUUGGCUGACCGGGUCCCAUGUUUGUAGUAGGUUUUGUGAGCUACAGAGGAUUAACUUCAGUCAGUUUUCCAUGUUAUGGCUGUUAAGAGCUAUGUCACCAUUUUUCUUUGUUUACAUCAAACUAAUCUUUUUUUUUCCCCCCAUUUUUCCUUAUUUGUGUAGGCAUCAGAAGAAACUGAAGUUUUAGUUCUUGAUACUUCCUCAAACUUGAAAAUUCCGAAUGUUGGAAGGGAGAGUGUUGAUGGUGUUGAUGCAUUAGUUGGUACCACGAUGCCUCACCCACCAGCUUACACCCAGCUGAAACAAGAGCCUCCAAAGGUUGGAAGCAGUGUCGCAGAACUUGACAGAAAUGGACUAGGGUCUUUUGCGCAUCCUGGAGAAGCAAUUGCUUCAGAAAAUAAAGAAGCUACUCAUAUUUCAACACUUUCCAGCUCUGGUCAAAGUAGAGACUUGAAUGCUUGCAAGUCACCUUCACCAAGGGUUGUGAAUUUGAUGCCUUAAUGUGGAUUUUUUUUUUUUUUGGUUAAGAGGUUUAGCAUUCAAUUUCUUUUUCUUUGGUUGUGAAUUUGAUGCCUUAAUGUGGAUUGGAUUUUUUUUUUUUUUGGUUAAGAGGUUUAGCAUUCAAUUUCUUUUUCUUUAUAGGUUACUGAAGCUGCUGUUCAGGCUCUAAAGAAGCCGAACCGUGGUUUUGGAGCACUGCUGGGUAACCCAAAGAGAAAGUUUGAUGGCGAGAAAAAGGUGAGUUAAUCAUUUGCUAGUAAUGGUUGUUAAACAUCUGCUAUGUCAUUGUCACAUAGCAAAAUAACUAUUUCUGAGGCCUGCCAGUCACCCAGUUUGUGCAUGUGUGGUUGGGAAGAAGGCAACAAAGGAAGAAUAUAGUUAAACAUUUGCUAUGUUAUUCUUACAUAGCAAAAUAACUACUACUGAGGCCUGCCAGUCAGCCAGUCUCUGCAUGUUGGUUGCAAAGAAGGCAACAAAAGAAGAAUGUUUUUUUUUUUUGAAUCUUCAUUCCAUGAUUCACUUUCUUUUCAAUUUUUCUUGUCAACUAGCAUGUACAUUUGCCUUCUUGUUGCCUUUUUCGUUGCGUGAGUCAUUAUGAAUUAUGAUUUAUAUUAUACGGAAAUUGUGAGUGGGCAACUGUUGGGCUAUAAUCAAACAUGCAAAAUUUCGGGUCCCAUGACUAAGCGCUGCUAUCAUCUGGAUUUGUGUGUUGUUGCAUUUUAUAUUUGGUUAACACCCUUCUUAUUAUCCUCCUUUUGAUUGUUUGUUUGUCUUAAUUAGGACAAGGAAGCUAUGAAACUAGAGCAGAUUAAAUCCUCAGUCAAUCUUCCAUUCCACUCAAUUUUUGCAAGAGAUGAACAGUUAAAACCAGUUGAUGUGAUGAAGUCUGAACCAAAUAAGCCUGACAUUCCAUUUCCUUCAUCUUUUGGUAGUGGGCAACAAACGAAACCAAUCAUAGAGGAAUCCAAUAGAGUUACAGUAGUUUCCCAAUCAGAAGAACCCGCUCCGGCUGCUAGGUCUGAUACAGAAGAUAUUAUUACGUUGGAAGAUGAUAUAGAUGAAGAGGAACAAAACCUUGGUAAUUUGGAAACUGCAAGUGCGCCCGGAGAGGACGGUUCUGCAGGGUCUGCUUUGGAAAUGGGUAAACAAGAUGAGACCAUGUCUCUCUCUGAUUUAUCAACUAGUUUCCAGGAGUGCUUCCACUCUGCUAACAACAAUAGAAAACCUGGAAAGCCUGAGAGAUCUGAAGAACCUAGUGGUUUUUUGCAGCUUAAGCCGUUUGACUUCGAAGCAGCUAGGAAACAGAUCGAGUUUGGAGAAGAUGCCAAAGAAAAAUCAGCUGGGGUUGAUGGAAACAAAAGAAAACCAGUGAACUCUGGAGAUAAGAAAAAAGUUUCAGCUGUAGAUCAAGCUCAAAAAGAUGAUGGAACAAAAGAACUGUCACAAGGUAGACGACGUUCUGCUUUUCCUGCAACUGGAAAUCGAAGUGCAACAUUUCGCUGAGUCUCUGGUAUCAAUCAUGCUGCUCUGUGUAGCAGAAAUUAGUUGAAUUUUGGAUUUUCACAAUCAUGUUCUUGAUUUAAAUGGAAAUUAAUGCUGGUGGACAAAUUCGCAAUGGUUGUACGUAUAUUUCCAUUGCUUGAGGUCUUGUCUGAUACAGCAUGAGCUAACCUGAUCAUCUUUUGAUAUUCAGUAACAGGAGAGAUGUAUGGUCUGCAGGAGCCAAUGAUGGGCAAGUGAUACCUGAGGCCGGUGUCUAUUUGAAGGUAAAAUGGGCGAUGGUUCUAGGUUUCAUAUUAGGUUUUUGAUAGUCUUGAGUAAUUGCCCUACUAUCUUCAUAUUUAAAAAACAGGAUGGUUUCAAACCAAAGUGCGGUUUGUAAUCAAAAGCAUUUGAUCUUUUUGUUUUUGUAACUUUACGGGUUUUAUUUUUAGAAAAAUGGUUCUGUACUAUGGUUUAUUUCUGCCUUAUUUGAUAUUGUGGUCAUCUUAGGCUUUAUUUAGUGUAAUUUUUCAGUUAUAUGUUCGUUUGGGAAGAGGAAAUGAAGUUAAUUUUAUUUCACACUUGCAUAAGAAAAAAUUGUAAUGUUUAUAUUAUUUUUGUUAAAAUUAUUAUUUAAAAAUUAUAUUUGAUAUCUAUUAAUAAUUUUUAUUAUAAUUAUAAUUUUCUUUUUCCUCCAUCAUCUCAAUUGCUUAUAACUGCUGUUGAGGAUGGUUGGUGCGAUGUUAAUAAUUUGUAAAGGGCUUAGUAACAUCUGGUUCCGUGAUGUCGGCCAAACCAUAUCGAAGGGCUUAAUUUGACGGUCAUCGGGGCCUCCUGCCCAGCUGCCCUCCUUUACGGAUUCCGCUUCCGCAAAUUAUUUUAUAUAAACUGUUGUUACAUGAUAGUGGUGGCCGGAUGAAAAUACUACAUGACCAUAUAAUGCUUUCGGUGCAAUGAGUGAAAAAGAGAAAUUUUUAUGUAUUCUCGGAUUGAAGGAGAAAUUUUAAGAUUAAGAUUGUGGAGUGGUAGCAGGAGUAAAUUAUUUACUUACAUCACUAUGAGAGUGUGGAACGAAAAUUAGAAAUUAUGUAUUUUCUUUGUCUUAGAUUGAGAGUGAAUCAUUUUAAAUUAUAAUUUUAUCCUUAUUUAAAGAAUUGUAGUUUUUAAUUAUAAAGUAAAUAAAAAAAUAUAUUUGCACAAUAAAUUAUUUAUUUUGUUAUUAAUUUUAAUUAUAUAAAUUAAUAAUAAUUAUUAUUAUUCUUAAUCAUGUGAAUCAUGAUUUUUUUGUUAAUUUUNNNNNCGUACAGCAGAAAUAAAUAUGAUAUUUUUAUUUUUAAAUAAAUGUGAUAUUAUUUUUAUUUUUAUCAAUAUAAUUAUAUUAUAUUCAAUAAGGAAAUGAUAAAAAGAAAGAAGUGGGAGUAGAUUUCUACUUUUUAUUCAAAAACAAAAAUGAGACCCACAGAGUAGAAGCCUAACUCUCCUCCUUAGAUGAGUACUAAAACGUUUAAGUAGGAGAAAUUCAUAUUUUUGACUCCCACUCUACAAAGUAAACAUAAUAAUAAUAUCAUAAUAACAUUUGAUAAUUCUAUAUAUUUGUGACGUCAUAUCUCAUCAAUUGAUUAAUAAAAUUAAAUGGUGAUUAUUUAUGAAAGAACAAAAUUAAUUCAUGUGAGUUAUGGUUAAUAAAUAAAUAAAAUAUAAAAUGUUAAAUUUUGACUAUAAACUAAUUUCAAUAUCUAAUAAUUUAAAAGCUCAAUAGAGCUAUGAUAAAAACUAAAGGGAGGAUUCUUAAUCCGAUCCGGGAUCUUAAUCAGUUCAGGACCGAUCCACUUCCAGCUAUUACGCGUCAAACAUCCAUUUGACGAUUGACGUGUCACGCCAUCUCACUGUCCUCACAAGAAAACCCGUUACCUUCAAAAUGCUCCAAACCCAUCAACGCCGAAUUCAAAUCAAGCCCCAAGACCAAAUACAAAGCAAAAACAAAUAAACAAACGUCUGUUCAUUCAGUCUGAAAAAAUCAAAAGAAGUAAAAGGAUUGGCGAUGGCGAUGGCGGUUGAAGGAGGAGGGACAUUAUCGGAGAUAUAUCAAAGUGCGAAGAAGUUGCUGUUGAGAGCGAGAGACGGAGUUGAGAAACUGGAGAGACUGGAGAGCUCGACGUCGACUGGGGGAUACGAUUCGCCGGAGCUCUCCUUCGCUGUCAAGAAAGAUAUUUCUCAGAUCCAGUCACUCUGCGUCGAGAUGGAUCGCCUAUGGCGCUCCAUCGCCGACAAGUCUCAGCGCGAUCUCUGGAAGAGGUACCUAUUCAUUUACUGUUUUGCCACGUGGCACCGAAUCAACCUUGUGUCGUGUCCUAAUUGCUCUACGCCAGUUCGGUUGCAAUUCUGUGCAUGAACCGCAAUUUUUAUACUGAAUAUUACAUUAUUGAUUUUGUCUGAGCGACAAGGCAUGCUUCCACGUUUACUUGUUGCUUAGUUUUAUUGUUUUGCCUUCUAUGUUAACAGUCUAUAUAAGUUUUAUAUGUGUUACAGGCAUGUGUAUAUAUGGAAGUACAUUAAUAGCUGUUCAUGCUGUUGCUUGCUUGAGGUCGUUGGUAUAUUUGCAUUUGGAACUAAAUGUGCUUGGUGUGGGUUCGCUAUGUGUGUGUGUGUGUGUGUGUUUGUUUGCGUUUGAUGUUAAAUGGAAUUACCUUCUAUCGAGUCAGUGCCGCAAUUUGAUUGCUUGGUUUUUCAGAGGUGUGUUUUUAUGUUAUGUCAUGCAGAAAAGUUGAACAAGUAGCAGAAGAGGCUGAAUCAUUGAAAGAGAGUCUCGAUAAGUACUUUUUAAGAAAUCAGAGACGGAUAAAUGAAGCUAGAGAGAGGGCGGAAUUGCUUGGAAGAGCUGUAUGUUUAUUCAGUUUUCGUUAGAAGUUUUGAACGGAUUCUGUAGUGUUUUUCUUGUCUGGAAACGAGAAUUAGCUUUCCAAUCUGAUGAAUUUCUUUUAUGUUAUAGAAUGGAGAGUCGUCUCAUAUUUUGAGAAUUUUUGACGAGGAGGCGCAAGCAAUGCAGUCAGUACGCAAUUCAUCGAGGAUGUUGCAAGAAUCGUUUGCAACUGGGACAGCCAUUCUUGCCAAAUAUGCAGAACAAAGGGAGCAUCUAAAGGUAUUGACACUUAAGCUCCUUGUUUACAUGCACAGUUGCACACUAGAAAUUUUUGCCAAGCUCACUCAAACUGUGUGCAAACAAAGUUCACUAAACAGGGUCAAAUGAGAAAUUUACAUUCUUGUCAUGGUUGUAUUCUUAACAUGAUUAAAUAUUUAAAUGAGAACAAUGUUAGAUCCUCAAAGCAAUUAUCUUUAAUAUUGAUUUAUACUACUGCUAUAGAAAUUAUAAGUGUUUGCAGCACCUGCACAAAUGGCUGCAGAGAAUUUAGUCUGUCUAUGGUAAUAAUUUUAAAAGCUGGUAACUCCAAAUAUUCAACAGUGGCUGACAAAAACAAUCCUCAAGUUUUAAAGUAAAAGCAAACUUUGCUUUGAAAUAAUCAGUGACAACAAUGACGUGAAAGUGUCACCAACUGUUUAUAUAUAAUAUCUCCAAUAUUCCAGAAUUUAGUUUCAUAAUGGCUGGCAAAGACUUGGUUUUUUUAAGGUUUAAAGUAAAAACGAUCUCUGCUUUGAAAUGUUCAGUGGCAACAGUGAUGUAAAAUGAUCAGCAACUGUUCAUAUCUAGUAUCUCCAAUGUUUAGAAUUUUGUUUAAAAGAUCCGUUCCAUCCAUAAAAAAAUUUCAUUCUGAAUAAGCAACUCAAGAUUACACUUCGCAAGAACACACCAUCUACCAUUUCUCACAAAUUUAAAUGUCACAACCUAUGAUCCAUUACCAAUUGUGAGAAACGGCAGAUUAUUUGUUCUAAUGAAGUGUAAUUUGAGUUGCUUAUUUAAAAUGAAAUUCUUUUAUGGGUAGAAGGGAACUUCUAAACGAAGUUCUAGGAAUCAAAUUAGCUGUUUAGAUUUGAAUAGUUGGUGAUGCUUUGAUGUCACUGUUGCCACUGAUUCUUCUCGAAAAGAAACAGAUUUUUAAAUGGUAUUAUAGAGGUCACAGAAAAAAAAUAGUCAUGCUAUCAUUGAUAGCACUUGCCACUGAUGUUGAUAAUGAGUUUAACUGAUUAACUUCCAUCUUUGGUUCAGAAAGCACAAAGGAAAGCUCUGGAUGUUCUCAACACUGUGGGUCUGUCCAAUUCAGUAUUGAGGCUCAUUGAGAGGAGGAACCGUGUCGAUACAUGGAUCAAAUACGUAGGAAUGGUUUCUACAGUGGUCAUCUUAUAUUUCUUCUGGAGGUGGACUAGGUGAUCCGAUCUUCAUACUUAGCCACGCAUAGAUCAUUAAUCCGCAUACUUUGGAAUGAUUAAGUUUUGUUCUUGAUAUUUGCCCCAUAAGAGGGUUAAUGAGGAUGUACAAGGCAUUCUUUGAUGAGAGACUAUCCUCUUAUGAGGAUGUAUAAAGCAUUCUUUGUUAAGAGACUAACUCGUAUAGGACGGACUCCCAAAGAAGGUUCUUUGCAAUUCUUGAACAUUUAGAGCGAAGUUGACGAAACGUGCUAGUUGUUUUUGUAUUUUGGCAAAAGGGGAAUUACAGAGUUCGAAGAUUCUAAGAAAUGCGCCAAUUUUGUUUUGUUGUCAGAACGCAAAAACGGCCUGAUUGUGGACGGUUAAAUCCGGAAUUAUGUAGUGGAUUUGCAGUUAUUGAAGGGCAUGCUUGGGAAAAUAAUAUGGUCAAAUAAAAUCAAGAACAAUUAUAUUGUAUCUGCUGUUUAUGCGUCCGUACUUGAAGGUGUCCACGUGGCUGGUGUGUGUUUGUUAAACCAGUAAAAUUAAGUAGUGCGAAGUUCUGAUCGCCGCUCAUUGAUUGUUUUUUUUUUUAACUUUAAAUAAACUAUGAGAAAAGGCUUUGAAUGAGUCGCAGAUAAAUUAAAGUUUUUUUUUUCUUCUUCUAAAUUUAUAUCCAAUGGUUCGGCACAUGUUAUUUUCUUUAUUUUUAGUGCACACGGUAAACUAUUGAUAGUAUUUGGUGUAAACUCACUUUCAAAUCGAUGCUUCACGAAAAGUCCAAAUGACGCGCUAUGAAAGUAAUAUAGAUAACUAGGAUAAGUGGAAAUGAUAAACGAAUAAAAUGAAGUAAAAAGAAUUUUUCAUUUUUAAGGGUUACAAAAUAAGAAUAGUUAAUUACUUAAUUAGUUGACUUGCUAAAAAUUUUUCAUGCAAACAAAUGGUCUGGACUGGAAUCCGUUUAAAUGGAUAGGAAGAAAAUUAGAGUGUCGUAAAAGUACUGGAGUUUCAAAUCCCCUCACGUAGUCACAAGGAUUAGAAGAAAAUUGAAUUGUUAGGCAAAAUGAAAAAAAAGAAAAAAGCUUAACAUUUUUAUUUUCUAAAAAAAUGUUUUUCUUAGUUGUUUUGUUUUUUAAUUUUAAAUAUAUUUAAAAUUUUGAAAUUAAUAAAUGACUUUGAAAACUUGAGUGUGCUCGAGCCUCGAGAUCUACUCAAAUUCUUUUACAUUAUUACAUUAUGAAAAAUUGUAUGAUGUCGUGAUUAAACUAUUGUAUCAAUACUAUGAUAAACAUAAAUUUUAGAAAUUAUAUAUAAGACUAGUAAGUGAAAUGUAAAAUAAAUUAAUUAAUAUAAGAGUGGUAAAUAAUGUUUUAAAAUUAUAAACAAAACAAACACUUAUAAAAAUAACAUAAAAAUUAUAAAUCAACAUUAAAUUUUAAUGUAAAAAUAGUUUAUUUAUUUAAUUUAUUCAAGCAAAGAAAAACUUUACUCAUCAAUUGAAAACAAAAAUUUUGUAUUGAAAACAAUGGGAAUAAGUUUUAUUAAUUGAUUUAACCAUGAAUUUUAUAUUCAUGUCAGGAUAUUUAUAAACUGUUUUUUUUUUUCAUUUUCUAUCAUAGUAUUUGUUUACUAUACAAGUUGAUUAAGUAAACUUAUUAUUAUUAUUAGUAUUAUUAUUAUUAUUUAUGUGGAUCAAGCCAAAACAAAAUAAAAAUACAUUUGAAUAUUACUAGACAUAUAUGGAAUAUUAAUACAAUUGAAUCUAACUUUCAGUUUUAUACAUAAUUCAUCUAGUUUCAAAUUUUACUUCUUAUACUAAAAGAUCAUUUGAGGUUGCUAUCGAGGAGGUUUAAAAUGAUGCAAAAUCACUUAUAUCACAAAUAAAAUAUGAAAAAAAAUUUCUAAAAUUUGAUUUUGAGAGUAAGUUUUAUCCUUAAUAAAAUUCCACAUAUAUUAUCACGUCUAUUACAUAACCACAGAAUUAUCAUUAUUUGAUUUAGAAAUAAAAAUAGUAAAUAUAUAAUGUAAUCAUUAUUAUAGUGAGUUUUUAUUUAUUUUUUCAAUAACUCUUAUAAUAUUUACUUAUUUUACAUUCAUUUACAACUCUUCUAUUUUACUUUUAUAAUUUAUAUGUUAUUUUACACUUAAUGUUGAUGUACAAGUUUUAUAUCACAUUUGUAAACAAGUUUUACUUUAUAUUUACAUGUAUUAUGUUUUAUUUACUUAAUUCAUGUUUUAUUUUAUACUUAAUGUUGAUUUACAAGUUUUAUAUUAUAUUGAUAUAAGUUUUUAUUUUAUUUACUAAUGAUAUAUCAACUUACCACUGUUAAUUUACUUAUUUUACCUUCAAUUUGCAAGUCUUGUGUUUCAUUUACAUAAUUUAUUAUGUUUUAUUUUACGUUUAAUGUUGAUUUACAAGUUUUAUGUUAAAUUUACACCUCUUAUAUUUUAUUUACACAAUUUAUGUUCAAUUAUAGUAUAUUAUAGAAUGACUCAUUUGACAUUACAAUACAAAAUUAUAAACAUAAAUAGAUGUAUCAAAAAGUCUUGUCGAAAAAUGAAUCCACCUUAAUACGGACCUGUCUCAUUGUUUUAUAAUUAAAGUUGCACACUCUUACAAUGAACUUGAAGAAAUUGAAUUCUCAACAUCAAUAAUGAGGUGUCUAUUACUAAUAAUAGUUUAUAAAAAAAAUAAAAAAAAUAAAGAAAUAUGAUUAAAUUGAUCAAUGUAAUUUUAUUAAAAAAAAGAAGCAUUUUUAUUACAAAAGCAAUCUCAAAAUAUAUAUUUUUUGUAGUUACAAAAAAUCAUGACCUAGUGGCGACCUAGUGGCGACCUGGUGGGCGUAUAUACAAAAAUCAUAAUAUUUUUAUACUGAUUACAUAAAUUCGGUGAUCACAGACCACAGUAAAACCCUGAAACCGCCCAACGGGGUUCUUUACCAGAGGAAAAAAGGGAGGAAAGAAAAUGACUUUUUAAUAUAACGGCACGGGUUUAAGCCAAAAACGGUGGAAUCAAAUCAUUGACACGUUCGUGCGAUGCCUUCACUCCUCAGGCAAACCAGACUCCCGCAUGUGAAUGCCACGUGAACGUAGCUUCUUCACAUAAUUUUUACCCCAAUGUCCAAAUUACCCCUUAUCUUUUACUCCUUUUUUUUUCUUUUUAACUUUGCCCGAUUUUGAAGUCUAUUACGUAUUGCGGACUGCUGCCCUCGCUUGACGUGUUUUUUCUCCUUUUUUUUUUUUUUCCCUCUCCAAACUAUUCUUUUCAAUUUUAACUAAAUAAUUUUUUUUUUUAUUACGAACAUCAACUUAAAAUUUAGGUUAGUUAGACACUUCCCCACUUCAUCCUUAAAGUCAAGUAUUCAUAUCUAUCUGUCUAUGGUGAAUAAUUUUUUUUAUUUUUUAAACUACGAACAAGUUAUCUUUUUUUUUUUUCUUUUCCAAUAUCACUAUUUAUCCACUUUUAGUUUAAUUCUUUCUGCCUAAGAUGAUCAAUUUAAAUUAAAAAUGGGAUUUUGAAAUUAUUUACUAAAAAUCAUGAUUGUUCUUUUGACGUAUUUGAAUAAAGUUUAUUUGGAAAAAUUAAUGUAAAAAAAAAAAAUGUUGGAAGAUUACGACAAUGGAAAUGUAGUCUCUGGUGAAAUGCUCUGAUUCAAUCAAUCAUCAGCAAAUGCGGUUCGCACGUUGGCAAUGGAACUCGUGAUAGCACAACCGUGAAAUGUCCUUCAUUUGGGAGUCCACGUUAAUCACAUGUGGGUCCAUCUUGAGUGCUUUUGUGCUUUACAAUUAAAAUAGACAGACAGGCUGAUGACCUGACAAUUUCGAGCCUGAUAAAGCCCCUUCAUCAACUUGAUCAGAAGGACAGGACAGCUAUUAAUAGAAAAAAGCAGCAGACUAGUACUAAUCGAGAAGUCAAACAGAUAAAAACUAAAACUAAAUAAUCUAAUCUCCUCCUAAUUCACUAAAUUAUUUUAUUUCUAUUGGUAUAAUUAAUUAAUUGAUUGAUUAAUCAAACAUGCCUUCACAAUUAAAUAGUUUCAACAGUGUAAGUUGAACCACGUGUCAAGCAAAAGCAACCAUCAUUUAUUAUAAUUUUUUUUUAUUUUUUUCGAAAAAGGAAAAAUCAAAAAACAAGGCAAGUUGAUGCCAACAGGAUCUGAUCCGGAAGGGUAACCGAGUCAUUUCGCCGUCAUGCAUGCCUCAAUCCGGAUUGCCUGCCCGCCCCCACGUUGGAAAACCAGGGACGCAUCGAUAAGCAGUUUCAACACCCAAAACACAAACUUGGGGGCGGGAAUUGCAAAACGAAAUAACAGCUUUUGCUUUUGCUUUAAUUUUUUUCCGUUUGUUUUCUUAAAAAGAAAGAAAAAAAAAAAUACUCCCAGUUCCACAAUAGAGCCCCUGGUUUUGCCUAUUUCUUUAAUCCUUUUACGCAGACUCAUGAUAAAUAUCUCCAUCUAUCAGUCAGUCCAUACGGUUUCCUUUCAUCACCAACCCCACCAACGAAAACAAAAAAAACAAAACAAACCCCCUCUUCAGAAAUAUAAUUAUAAUUUUCUUUUUCUAUUGAAUUAAGCUUGUUGGGUAUAAUUUGCUAAUUAAUCAAAGAUCGAUCUAUGACGACGGAAGCGGUCAGCAAGGUUGGAUAUGCGCAUAGUAAGGUUGCUAUGAAGAAGAAGAGCGGUUAUCGAGGUCGAUGCAGGAGAAGAAAUCACGACAGAUAUGCACCCGAUAAUAAAACGGUGCCGAUGGCGCUGCAGCGUCUGUUUCUUUCUUGCAAAGACGUCUUCAGAGGCCCUGGAACCGUUCCCGCUCCUUCUCAUGUCCAAAUGUUGUGCUCUAUUCUUGGUAAGUGUUUUUUUUCUUACACUUCAUCAUUUCUGGUCCAAUUUUCUUGUUUUUCAUUUGGCCGCUGCACUCGCAUGACGUGUAUGUUGUGAAAUCUGAACCCAUCAUCAUCCUUCAUCCAUGCACAUAUAUAUUAUCAGUCAUGAGAAAUUUUGAAUCAGCCAUUAAAAAAAGAAAAAAAAAAAGAAAAGGAAAGAUUCAAUAUUAUCAAAUCAAUACCAUUUUGUUUCAUGAGAUGAUCUAUGAAAGAUGGGAAAGGAGCACUGCUCCUUAUUUCAUUUCCUGUCACGUCUGUGUUUCAAUCAAUUGUAAUAAUACAUAUAGCCACGUAAAAAGCAAGGGGCAAUACUCUUUACAGCACGAAAACCUUCUCAAAAAAGGGGCUUUACUUUAUUGGCAGUAAUGAAUUGUUUUGAGCAAUUCAAUUCAUCAGUGCACUUAUCAUGUUUACGUAGUUUGUCAAUUUGGUUCCAGUUUUUGGUUCUUUUUAUUGGAUUCAGUGCCGAAAUG
rnacentral:lncRNA from 1 species